CAACAUUGAUGAUAUAAGCAUCUGGGGUGGGCUUAACUCGAAUCCAUUCUCCAUCGGUUUUUCGCUUUACUUCCAACCCUCCGACAUCAUCCUGAGCAAGGAUGGUUAAGGCUCCGCCAUCCUUGUGGCGACCAACGCCCAGAGCUAGGUGAGGGAUGGGGCAAGGUGGGUAGUGUUUGAGGCGGAUGAAGUUCGUUGAUUCUUCAAAGAAAAGAUUGAAUCUGUUUUCCGGCAAACCUAAACUCAACGAGAUGAGUCCCAAUAGCUUGAAAGCUAAUUUUUCCAUUUCUCUAGCAUACUCUUCACAUACCUCCCUAUAUAAAUCAGUUCAAUUAGAACAAAAAAGAUAAGUAAUUCACUGUAGUUAUUGUGCCUUAGCUGGUGAAAUUUGUACCUUAAUUCAGGAGGGUACUGAGGCCACUGAUUGGUCAGCUCUUUGAGCUCCUUGUCGUCAGGAUCAGGCGAAACAGGGAUCACGGUGGGGGUUGACACCACGAAAUCAAAGACUUCCUUCCAGUCCCUAACGUUCUUGGUAAGCUCCGAAUCAAAAUACCCCAAAGGAUUCACCUCAUCUCUACUCACCUUCCUCUUCUCCUCCAAUGGCAGAGCGAAGAAUUUCCUCGCCGCACCCUCAAUUUUCCGGCGAGACUCCGAGGGCACCCCAUGGUUGAUGACUUGAAAGAAGCCCCAAUUCUUGGAUGCGUCAGCUAUUUGAGAAACAUGGUUGGAAGCAUUGGCGGAAGAGAGAUCAAUGAGGGGGAUGCCUUCAGCUUCGAUAACAGCGAGCUUAGGCCUAUGUUGGGUGUCUUGGAUGAAGGCUGGAUCGACCUCUCCCAUGGCUGUGGUAGUGGUUGGAAGUUAGAAAUGGGGGUUAAGCACUGGUGGCAGCAGGUGUAGAUGGUGACGGGAAAUUGGGCCACACGGCAGGUGGUUUUUGUAGUGUGGUGGGGUUGGUUUAGUACAUUGAACCUGGGCAUAAUUUGGGUUACUUUUUAAGGUUUGGUUGAGGGUGUGACCUCAUGGAUUGCGCAUAUAUUAAUGAUAAUUGGUCAAGUGAUACUGCAGUCCCAAAGGGAAUCUCUCUCAAUGAUUUUGCCGACAGCUCCCUCCACAUUAAAAUGUUUCAUCCGUAUUUGAAUUGGAGUCUAAUGCUCUGAUCAAAGAUACCUUUCGCUUAGUCGAUCAGUGUUUGAUUACUAAAUAAGAUGGUGUCACAAAUAUUUUUGAAUUCUAGGUCAAAGUUAACGAGUGCAAAGGUUAUCAAUUUGAUAAGAUAAAUUGUUUAGAAACACUUUUAAAAAUGAUUCUUGAAAAAAUAUUUUUUUAAGUUUAAAAACCAUUUUUAAAUUUAGAAUAAAGGUUUAUUUAAAAACUUAUAUUAUUAUAAACUUAUUUUUUAUAUUUUUAAAAAAUAAUUUUUAUAUAUAAUAUUUUAUUUUCAAUCAUUUUUUACAUUUUUUUUAAAAAGGUAAAACUACUAAAAAAAAUACUUAAAAUAAGUUAUCAACAAAUGUCUUAUUGUCAUGACAAUUUUCAAAAACAUGUUUUAGAAACAAUUGAAAAUCAAAGUAUUUUCAUAUUCCUUUAUUCCCAAAAACAAAAAAUUAUUCUUGGUAACGGUUCCAAAUGUAUCCUUCAUUUGUUUAUCUUAUUAUAUAAGUUUUAAAAUAAAAUACAAAAAAUAAUUUUCAAUGAUAAUUUGUUACGGUUUUAUCCAAAAUUUUUAUAUUUUUAAUCAAUUAAUUUAUUGAUACGUAUAUUUCUCAUGAGACCUUUUUCUCACUAAAAACAUUACUUUUUUAUAAGACAUUUUUAAUAAAUUAAUUUUGAUACGUAGAUUAAAAAUGUCUUAUAACAAUAUAAAUUAAUUAAAUCAUUAGUUGGCCAUUUGGUCUCAUGCUUACACAACGACUUCUCUCAUGGCUGCCUAACAUGAAUGAACAACUCUCUACAACAAGUAAGGUACACUUAAUUAAAAAAUUAUUUAAUUUAAAGAUGUUCGAGAAUGAGAAUUUCAAGUAGCACUUGAAUGAAUUUAAUGAGACCACAAAUUAAUUAAAUUCGAUGGUUAUUAAAUUUGAUGAUAAGAUUCAAGCCUUAUUAAUCCUCGGUUAAUUGCUUGAGAGUUGGAAAGACACAAUCACCUCAAUCAAUAGUUCAUCCAAAAAAUCAAAAUUGGUGUUUUCGAAUGUAGUAGACAUGAUUAUAACCGAGGAGAUCAAGAAGCAUGAAGAAGGUUUUUCAAAUUCAUGAUCAACAUUAAAUAUGGAGAGCAAAGCUAGAAAUCAUAAUAAAGGUAAUAGGCGUGAUAAAUCCAAAUCGAGGAAUGAUAGGUUGAAAUACAAAAAUUCCAUAAAUUCCUAACAUCAGACGAGUAAGAACAAUAUCAAAUGUUGGAAUUGUGAUUGGAGCUAAAAUAUGUGCUCAAAUGACAUAUAUUUGAUAUGAUUUAUAUAUCAUAAGACACUCAAAUCAUCUGACUCUACCCAAAUUGAUACUAAGGUCCUAGCCAUGAGUUUAACUUGUAUUUUGGAGAUUUAUCUCAGGUUUAAGAAAAGAAAAUGGUGUAAGGUGAAUCAAUUUAGAUUUUGAAAGAAUAAGAAGGGGUUAAAUGAGAAAAUGAACAAGUCAAGACUCAUGAAAUAUGAAGAAAGGAAAGACGAGGAUAUCGUGAGUUUGGGAGAUGAGGAAUGACCAUUAUCAUGAAGUAAGAAAUAAGGCAUACAAACAUAGAAAAUGAGGCAUGAAACAAAAUUCAUCAAGUUUGCAUGGAAAUUUGGGACUCAAAAUCUGGUAAUAACAUAUACUCUGACUUUAAAAUGAAAUUUGGAGCAUUUCCCAAAGUCCAUUUUAGGCAAGCUAUAUAUUGUUUUGAAGCAUGGGAAGUUAGGAAUUCAAAGCUUCAAACAAUGUCCAAAUUAGAGCUAAAUAAGGAAGUUAUGCACAUUUAAAGCAAACUAGUUAGAGAGAAAAACUGAGUUCGAAAUUGGUCACUUGGAUUUGAAAUGGUUUUUGUCCAUUUAAAACUCAAAGAAAUGAAAGAAAACUUUUGGCAUUGGCUAAGUUUGAAUCUCUUUACCUAUUUCAAACAAGAGGCAUACAUUUCAAAGUCAAAUGAACAUACAUGGGCAGUGAGUGAGUUCAAAAUUCACUAUGAAUUUUGAACUCACCUUGUUGAUUUCAAAUUGGACCAUUUAUUUCCCACUUAUGAGUUCAAAAUUGAUUUGAACUCACCCAAAUUUCGAACUCAACCAUUAGUGACCGAUUUUAGGCUCUGAGACAUGUCAAAACGAGUUUCAAAUGCCUUUAUCCAAUUCAAAACGCAUCAUACUCAUUUAGAACUCGUAAUUUUUGGGGUUUUUUUUAAAGGUUAUUUAUGACUUUUCGUUACAAUAAGUGGCCAAUGAGAGUGUACCACAUGUUAGGUCAUUGAAGUUACUAUAAAAACUCUUUUAGUUAUAGUGUUUAGGUGAUCUUCCAAGAGUUAGACAUUUCGUGGGGAAGAAUACGAGAACUUUUGGUUUAUUUAUUUUCUUCUUUAUUGAAUGUAUUGUUUUUAGUUUCCUUUAUUUCAAAUUAUGAAUUUUUACUUUAUUAUGGAUUGUGAAUGUGACAUUACCCCCAUGAGAGGAUAAAAAGCUAACUUGGGGCUUAAACAUAAAAACUAACGGUUAGAAAACUUAUAGGGACAUUAGGUAAAUUAUUAUAACAAUAAGAUUAAUUAAUGGUUGAGUUACAAUUUAUUAAUUUUUUAUCCUAUCAUUGUGAGUUAGUUUAGAGAAUAAUAUAGUAGGUGAUUAUUCGAUACUAGUGAUUCUUGGUAACUCUUGAUCAUUAGUAAUCCUGAUUUUUCUUAUAGUUAUCUGCCCCAAAACGAAGUUAGAAGGAGUAGGAAAUGUUAAAAAGCCAAACCUUAAAUUGAUAAUAAUUUCAUUCAUUUGAUGUGUUGACAAAUCAGAGGGUUGGCUGCAUCCAUCAACUCUCUUUGUGUUCGCCGUGAGCACUUGGGUGAAUGCACUAUAAGGUUAGAGUAUGCACAUUUCUUAACAGCAAUUGCUUUUAGGAGAAUUGGUAGUGCCUGAGGUCCUACAUGAUAGUUUUAAGAACUUGUUUUAAAAAGAAAAAUUAAGUUUUAGAUGUACUUUUGAGUUAUAGGGCUCAAGUUGAUUGCAAGCGGCCAAGAAUCCCAAAACCCUAAGAUCACUCUAGUUAAGAAACCUUUGUUAUCUCUAUUUCUAUACCUUAAGUUAUAUUGUGGAAAACCUCAAACUUAAAUCAAUUAAAUUAAAAAUCAAUAUUCGUUUUGUUAUUAAUUUAGUUUUUUUUUUUUUUUACUUAGUUUCACUUCAUAAAAGUUAAUUCACAUAUUGUUUUUCGCUUUAGGAUUUAAAUAAAAACAAUUCAUUUAUCCUAGUAUUGAAAAAUUCCAUAUGUUAGUCCCUAAGGAUGAUACCCAAAGAAUUACAAAAACCAUAGUGACUAUUUCUCUAGUUUUUUCUUAACCAAAGUUACUAUGUAAAAAGGCUUAGUAUUUUACAUAAGAGAGAAGAUUGAUCAAAUUGUGGAAAGAAGAGACAUUAUAAAAAUGAGUGUAAGGCUGCCAAGAAGGAUAAGGAUGGUGACAACAAGACCAAUGCAAAUGUUGUGUCAAAAGAAUUAGAUGAUGCUCUUAUCUGCUAUUUAGAGAGAACAACAUAAUCGUGGGUAUUAGAUUCAGGGGCAUCGUUCCAUGCUACCUCAAGUGGAGAAUUAUUUGAGAAUUAUGUCUCAGGUAAUCUAGGGAAGAAGUAUCUAGGUGAUGACCAAGCAUGUGUUGUUAUUGGCAUAAGUGAAGUGCAUAUCAAAUAUUUGAAUGGAUUUGUAUGGAAUUUGGACAAUGUGAGGCACAUUUCAAACCUGAGAGAUAAUUUUAUUUCCAUUGGGUAGUUAACAAAAGAUAGUUAUGUGACAACUUUUUUAGGUGACACAUGGAAUAUCUCAAAGGGAGCUAUUUGCCAUGGCAAGAAGAAUGAUACUCUUUACAUGACAAUGAAUGGUUGUGGGUUUAUUACAAUUGUUGAGAGCAAAGAAGAUUCGAAUUUAUGGCAUUAAAGGCUUGGUCACAUGAGCAAUGAGGGGUUGGAAAUUAUACACUCAAAUGGGAAGUUGUCAAGUUUGAAAUAAGUUGACAUUGACAUGUGUGAAAAUUGCAUACUUGGGAAACAAAGAAGGGUUAGCUUUAAGAAAGUUGGAAAAACUCCAAAAGAAGUAAAACUGAAGUUAGUUUAUACAAAUGUUUGGGGACUUGCUUCAAUUUCAUCUAUCGGUAGAAGAUUUUUUUUUGUGACCUUCAUUGAUGAUCAUUUGAGGAAAGUGUGGGUAUACUUUAUGAUACACAAAUGAGAAGUGUUUGAUGUAUUCAAGAGACGGAAAACAAUGGUGGAGAAUAAGACAUGUAUGAGAGUCAAGAAGUUACGGUUUGAUAAUGGUAGGGAGGAUGAAGAAUUUGAGUUCAAGAAGAUCUAUUAUGAAAAUGGAAUUAAAUUAGAGAAGACCGUGCCAAGGACACCUUACCAGAAUGGUAUAGCAUAAUGAAUGAACAAGACAUUGACUGAAAGAGAAAAAAAACGUGUAUACAAGCAAGGUUGUCAAAGGAGUUCUUGGCAAAAGCAAUCAACAAAACAACUUACUUGAUCACAAAAUACUGGAAAAAGUGUGAACUAAAAAAAAGGUAAAGUUUUCUCAUUUGAGGGUAUUUGGUUGUGUAUCAUAUAUAUAUAUAUAUAUGUGUGUGUGUGUGUGUGUGUGUGUGUGUGUGUGUGUGUGUGUGUGUGUAUACAUAUUAGUGAUCAUGACAUAAACAUACUUGAUGCUAAAUCACUAAAAUGUACUUUCUUAGCUAUGGUGUUGAUAAUUUUGGUUAUUAGUUUUGGGAUGACCAGAGUAAGAAAGUGAUUAGAAGUAAGGAUGUCGAUUAGAAGUAAGGAUGUCAUAUUUAAUGAGAAAGUUUUGUAUAUGUAGAGAGAUGCAACACAUUCCAAUAGUCUGGUACAACUUGAACCUAUUUACUUUGAGCCAAAUGAUGUCCCAUUGAAUAACAUGACAAAUAAGACAGGUCAUAAUCAUUAGAUUGAGGAAAAUACUGCAUAAGAUGUUAAUAUAUCACAAGAUCUAGUUUCAAUUCCUACUUUGAGGAGAUCUAACAAGCCACAUGUACCAAAUAGGAAGUAUUUAAAUUAUUUGCUACUAAUAGAUGGAGGUGAACCUAAAUGUUAUGAUGAGGCAUGUCAGAUGGAAGAUAAUAGAAAGUGGGAGCUUACGAUGAAAAAUGAAAUGAAGUCCCUUAUUCUUAACCAGACUUGGAAGCUAGUCGAGUUACCAAUGGGUAAGAAAGUUUUUCAUAAUAAGUGGGUGUAUUAAAUUAAGUAGGAGCAUGGUGGUUCUAAGAGAUAUAAGGCUAGAUUGGUGGUCAAAGGGUUUCAAUAGAAGAAAAAUGAUUGACUAUACAUACAUUUUCUCUCUAGUUGUGAAACUAACUAUUAUUCAAUAUGUUUUGAGUAUUGUAGCAAUAAAGAGUUUACAUAUAGAACGGUUAGAUGUGAAGAUAGCUUUCCUCUAUGGUGAUUUUGAUGGGGAAAUUAGUAUAUAUGCAACAACUAGAGGGUUUUGUAGUGAAGGGUAAAGAGAAUCUGGUGUGCAAAUUAACUAACAGUCUGUAUGAUUUAAAACAAGCCCCAAGACAAUGGUAUAGAAUAUUUGGUAGUUUCAUGCAAAAGAAUAGGCAUCUCAAGUGCAAUGCAGACCAUUGUUGUUACUUUAAGAGAGUUGGUUCUAUCUAUAUUAUUUUGUUACUUUAUGUUGAUGGCAUGUUAGUAGUUGACGCAAAUCUAGAUGAAAUUAACAAGUUGAAGAAAUAGUUGUCUAGUGAAUUUGAAAUGAAGGACUUGGGAGCAACAAAGUAGGUACUUGGGAUGAAGAUUAGCAAAGACAAAUAAACGAGCAUCUUAUGGUUAUCUUAGGCUAAGUAUAUAUACUCAUAAAGUAUUGCAAAUAUUCGACAUGAGUAAUGUAAGGCAAUUAGAACAUCAUUAGCAAAUCAUUUCAGGUUGUCUAAUUAAGCAUUGCCCAUGGGCAGAUGAGGAAAAAGACUUCAUGGCUAAGGUUUCAUAUGCCUUAGCCAUUGGAAGUUUGAUGUAUGUUAUGAUAUGCACGACACUAGACAUUGCCUAUGCAGUGGAAGUUGUGAGCAAAUUUAUGUCAAAUCUAAGUAAGUAGCAUUAUGAAGUAGUGAAAUGGAUGCUUAGGUACUUACAGGGUACUACAAAAAAAUGUCUAUGUUUCGAAAGGGGUGAGUUAAAAUUGCAAGGAUAUGUGGAUGUUGAUUUUGCCAAUGAGAUAGAUAAUUGGAAAAGUACUACAUGGUAUGUGCUCACUUUGGGUACUAUUGCUAUUAGUUUGAUUUCUCAAUUGUAGAAGAUUGUUAUUUUAUCUACAAUUGAAGUAAAAUAUGUGGCUAUCACAGAAGCUAGAAAAGAAAUGAUUUGGCUAUAGAGUUUGUUAGCAAAGUUAGGAUUCAAAUAAGAUAUGAAUGUUUUGCAUAGUAAUGGCCAAAGUGCAAUACAUUUGGCUAAGUAUUCAACAUUUCAUUCAAGAACUAAUUAUAUUACACUUCAUUAUCACUCCAUCAGGUUUUUGCUUGAAGAUAGGGUGUUAACAUUUGUGAAGAUACAAGGUAGCAAGAAUCCGGUUAACAUGUUAACUAAAAUAGUGAUAAUAGAAAAAUUGGAGUUGUGUGCAACUUCAAUUGGUCAAUAAUGAGAAUAGGUUGUUUGAGUGCACCCUCAUACCCAUUAAUCAUUGAAAGAGAAUGUUUACUUGUGUUUUAGUCUUCAAGUGGAAGAUUGUUGGAUUGUGAAGCUUGAAUCAGUUUUAUUAUGCCCCGAUCAACUUGUAGGGAUUGAAGGGCGCAAUGCUCUAUGGAGAAUUUAUUUAUUUAUUUUUAUGUAAUGAUUGACAGGUUUAAUCUUAUUAUAUAUUUUAACCCUUUUAUGUUUUAAGGUUUUGUUUUUUAAUGUGUAGUUGCAAUUGAGAGGUUUUUUGAGAGCUUUGCUAUUCCACUCCUUCUCAUCCCUUUUAUAGUGAAUUGUUGUAUGUUGGUGUACUCCAUUGAUGUAGGGAUCAAAUUGAUCGUAAAACCAUUUUUUUUUUUUUUUUGUUUCUAUUUAUACAUGAGUGUGUGCGUGAUUUGGUUAACAUCAGUUAUCUUAAUAAUUCUAUUCCUGGAAUAGGAAGAAAAUGAUGAUUCCAUUAAUGUAGCAUGCAUUGCUGCUUAUUUAUCAAGCAAAUUACAUUAUUAUUACACCAAACCUCCAAAUUCACCACGUACGUAUCGUAUAUACCGCAUGAUAAGAUUUAGAGAGGUAAAACAAGCGCUUAUUGUUUACGGAUAGAUAAUGUCCCACCGACCUUUUACUCUGAUACCUUGAAAUGAGAAAUUUGGAGGUUUUCCACACCAAGCUUCUUGAGAUUACCGCGCUUUCUCGUAGCGAAGAACUUUCCCCAGUUGUAUGCUCUAUACUUUGGUUUUUCCCCCUUCGUCAGCUCCUCCAAGGGCUGCACCCAAAGAUGGUGCGCGGGAUUGAAAAAGAACGGAAUCGAGAACCUUUCCCUCUCUGAAUUCAGUAUCACUCUGUGCUCCACACUCUCAUAAGUUUCGUUGCUCCAAACCUGGUUUAAUAUCAGUAUAAUUAGCCAAAUAGGUGCAAAAUUCGGUGAGCGAAAUAACUGAUAAGCAGGUGCUUAUAAUUCAAAGUUCUUGGGUGGUACCUGAAUUAUAUCCCCAACAUUGAUGAUUUAAGCAUCUGGGGUGGGCUUCACUCGAACCCAUUCUCCGUCGGUUUUUCGCUUUACUUCCAACCCUCCGACAUCAUCCUGGGCAAGGAUGGUUAAGGCUCCGGCAUCCUUGUGGUGACCAACGCCCAGAGCUAGGUGAGGGACAGGGCAAGGUGGGUAGUGAUUGAAGCGGACGAAGCUCGUUGAUUCUUCAAAGAAAAGAUUGAAUCUGUUUUCUGGCAAACCUAAGCUCAGAGAGAUGAGUCCCAUCAGCUUGAAAGCUAGUUUUUCCGUUUCUCUCGCAUAUUCUUCACAGACCUCCCUGUAUAAAUCAGUUCAAUUAGAACAAAACAAACUAAGUAAUUUACUGUAGUGACUGUGCCUUAGCUGGUGAAAUUUGUACCUUAAUUCAGGAGGGUACUGAGGCCACCGAUUGGUCAGCUCUAUGAGCUCCUUGUCCUCAGGAUCAUCCGAAGCAGGGCCGAAGGCGGGGGUUCUCACCACGAAAUCAAAGACUUCUUUCCAGUCCCUAACGUUCUUGGUAUGCUCAGUAUCAAAGUACCCAAAAGGAUUCACCUCAUCUCUACUCACCUUCCUCUUCUCCUCCACUGGCAGAGCGAAGAACGUCCUCGCGGCAUCCCAAAUUUUCCGGCGAGACUCCAAGGGCACCCCAUGGUUGAUGACUUGAAAAAAGCCCCAGUUCUUGCAUGCAUCAGCUAUUUGAGAAACAUGAUUGGAAGCAUUGGCGGAAGAGAGAUCAAUGAGGGGGAUGCCUUCAGCUUCGAUAACAGCGAGCUUAGGCCUAUGUUGGGCGUCUUGGAUGAAGGCUGGAUUGACCUCUCCCAUGGCUGUGGUAGUGAUUAGAACUUAGAAAUGGCAAUUAUGCUCUGGUAGCUGCAGGUGAAGAUGGUUACAGGACUUGGGCAACUCGGCAGGUGGUUUUUAUAGCAUAAUAGGGGUGUUGGUUUAAUACCUUGAACCUGGACAUAAUAUGGGUUACGUGUUAAGUUUUAGUUCGGGGUGUGAGCUCAUGGGUUGCGCAUAUGUUAAUGAGAUUUGGUCAAGUGAUACCUAGCUAUUUCCACGGCACCCUCAAUAUUCAAAUAUUUCAUCCGUACUCGAUUUGGAAGGUUGAUUAGUAAAUCUGAUGGUGUAAUGUCUAUUUUUGAAUUCAAUGCUAUAUAUUUAACGGUGAAGAUAAGAAAAAUAGAAGAGUUGAUAACGUUGAAGAAAAAAUGCCAAAGUUUUAAGAAGGUAGAGUUUUGAUGAGAAAUAGGUAAAAUUAAAAUUGCAUUAUAAUAAUAUAAAUUAAUUAAAUCGGUAAUCACCCAUUUAAUCUCAUUCUUAUCCACAAUUGUUGAUAGUUGAUCCUACAAAAUUCUAAAAAAAUCUUCCACAAAGACAAAUCACAAGAUGUUCAAUAACAUAUAUGCUUUUGCACCAAAAAUUGUAUAAGGGAAAAAAAAAUGAUGCACAAAAAAAAAAAAAAAAAAAUUCUAUAUCUAAUAUUAUUUCAUAGGAAAACUAACUAUAAUAAAUUUUAAAAGCAAAGAGCGUUUUACCAUAUCUAAAUAAUAGAUUAUUAAAUUCUUUAUUUUUCAAUUGGAUAUUUUUUUUUAAAUUAGAAACAUCUAUAUAAAAAUAAAAAUCACUUUAAAAAAAUUUUAAAUUUAAGAUAAUAAAUUUUUUAUAAUAUUUUAAUUCUUUUAAAUAAUUUUUAAAAUUAUUAUUUUUUCAAUAUAAAAUUUUAAGAGUUUUUGUAUUUUAUAUAUAAGUUACUAAUAUUCUCUUAUUUUAAACAUAGAAAAUAAAAAAUGUAACCAAAUGAAUUAGAAAAUAAAAAAGUUGAAUAAAAAUAGUCUAACCAUCUUAAACCUAAUAAUGUUUGACAGAAAACACUUAAAUAUACCUUGUAAUUUUCCUCACUGGUCAGCUCCUCCGAAGGCUUCACAUUCACAUGGUGCGCCAGUAAGAAGAAGAAUGGAAUCGAAACCCUUUCCUUCUUGUGUCGACCCACACUGAGAGCGAGCUCCAGCCACGAGCACGAUGGAUGGUGAUUGAGUCGGAUGAAGCAUUAGCCUUCAAAGAAUUCAUUCAACCGAUCCCCCACCAAGCCUAAGCUUAAGGAGAUGAGUUCCAAGAACUUGUAAGCUAAUUUUUCUAUUUCUCUAAUAUAGUUUUUCCAAAUUUUCCUGAAAAUAAAUCAUUAUAUAAAAUAUAUCAAUACUCAAAAUAAAUUUAAUAAAAUCUUGUCUUGCCUUUAUGUCUCUAGUUGAGUCUGUUUGGCUUCAAGCUGUGCAUUUAUGUCUCCGGUUGAGUUUGUUAGGCUUUGAGUCGCACCUUUACACCUCUAGUUGAAUAUGUUCGACUUUGAGCCAUGCCUUUACGUUUUGAGUUGAGUCUAUUCGGCUUUGAGCCACGCCUUUACAUUUUAGUUGAAUCUGUUCGAUUUCAAGCCGUGCAUUUACAUCUAUAAUUGAGUCUAUUCAGCUUCAAAUUGCAUCUUCACAUUUUUUGUUGAAUCUGUUCAGCUUCAAGCCACUCCUUUAUGUCUCUAAUUAAAUUUGUUUGGCUUUAAGUUUCACCUUUAUGCCUUUAAUUGAGUUUGUUCGGCUUUUAGUUGCGCUUUUACGUUUUGAGUUGAGACUAUUUGGCAUCGAGUUGCAACUUUAUGUUUCAAGUUGAAUUUGUUUAGCUUCAAAUCGUGCCUUUACAUCUCUAGUUGAGUUUGUUCGACUUCAAGUCAUGCCUUUAAGUCUCUAGUUGAGUUUUUUUAGCUUUGAGCUGCGCCUCUACAUCUCUAGUUGAAUUUGUUUGGCUUCGUAUCACAUCUUAUGUUUCGAAUUGAGUUUAUUCGACUUCGAGUUGUGCCUUUAUGUUUCUAGUUGAGUCUAUUCAGCUUCAAGCUGCACCUUUACUUUUUGAAUUGAGUUUGUUCGGCUAUGAGCAAUGCUUUUACAUUUCAAGUUAAGUCUGUUUGGCUUUGAGUUAAGCCUUUACGUCUCUAGUUAAGUCUAUUCAACUUCGAGCCGCAUCUUUCAUUUUUGAGUUGAGUGUGUUUGGCUUUGAACCACACCUCUAUGUUUCAAAUUAAGUCUAUUCAUCUUCAAGUCGCACUUUUAUGUCUUUAGUUAAGUUUGUUCAGCUUCGAGCAAUGCCUUUAGGUUUGAAGUUGAGCCUAUUUGACUUCAAGCCACACCUUUACAUCUCUAGUAGAGUUUGUUUGGCUUCAAGCUAUGCCUUUUUGUUUCGAGUUUAGUCUGUUCAGUUUUGAGCCAUGCCCUUACGUUUCAAGUUAAGCCUAUCCGGCUUCAAGUCGCGUCUUUACAUUUUGAGUUAAGACUAUUCGACUUCAAGCUAUGUCUUUACAUCUUUAGUUGAGUUUGUUCAACUUCAAGCUACGCCUUUACGUUUUGAGUUAAGUCUAUUCGGUUUCAAGUUGUGUCUUUAUGUUUUGAGUUGAGUCUGUUUGGCUUUAAGUCACACUUUUACGUUUUGAGUUGAGUCUCUUCAACUUUGAACUACACCUUUAUAUAUCCAGUUGAGUCUGUUCGAAUUUGAGUCACACCUUUGAGUUUUGAGUUUAGUCUGUUCGGCUUUGAGCCACACUUUUACAUCUCUUGUUGAGUCAUAUUUAGCUUCAUUCUACGCCUUUACAUUUCCAAUUGAGUUUAUUUAGCUUUGAGUUGUGCCUAUGUUUUAAAGUUUGUUCAAUUUCGAGCCACAUCUUUAGCCUUAUUAAGUUUGUUCAAGUUUAGUUGUGCCCUCACCCAUAUCCUUAGUUUUAAGUUUAUUCAGCUUCAAGCCAUGCGUUUGUCCUUGUUAAGUAAGUUCGGCUUCGAGCCACGUCUUAGUUUUGAAGUUGUUUAUCCUUGAGCCACACCUUCCUUUCUUUUUUAGUUCACUUAGGGUUUUCUCCUUCCUCGAGUUUAUUAGUGCAUUCGAGUUCAUUUUUCUUUAAGUUGAUCACUCUUUAUCUUUGUUGUCCUUGAAUUGUUCAUUGUGUCACAAUUCAGUGUUUUUCAUUGCAUAUAUACUCCCCACAUUGUCUAUAUUUUAUCCUGAUGAGUUUCUUUCCCAAUACGUGACCUCGAUCUUUGAGUUUAGCAUGCCAUGUGCUAAGACAAUUUCGAGUGCUCUUUUGUUCUUCAAUGCAAUUCACUUCAUACCAUUCAUCACUCAUGUUUCACUGUUUGUGUUCAUUUCAUUCGUGAUCUACAUCGGAGAGAGACAUAUUUGUUGGCCCUUUACUUUGUCCUAUAAUACAUAUUUUCACAUUUUUUUAUUUUCCUCUUGCCCCAUACUCAUUUUUGGUGCUCGUUUUGGAUCCUUCUUGUUUGAUCAUUCAUGGUCCCUUAUUGGUCCACGUUUACUUGACUCAUUAUUCAUUUUUUAGUCGCAUUUUAGAGGCCAUGUAGGAGGAAUUUUGAGUACAUGCAAGCUUAUUUUUUAGAGACCCUUAGUAGUUGGCUCAUAUGAGGACACGCCUCCUCACACUACUACAAAAAUCAUUUAUGGUGUCACUAUUUAUAGUGACACUUUUAAAAUAAUGACACCAUAUAGCUUAAAAUCCACAAAGGUGACACAUCAUAUAAAAAUUUUCAAUUAGGAUCAAUGAUAUUAAUUUUAGGUUUAUAAUGUCAGUUGCCAAAAAAUGACACCAUAUAAAAUAUUUUUUUUCUAAAUAUUAUAACUCAAUUGGCCCACUUUGAGAAUAAUGAUAGUAUAUAAAAAAAUCAUUGUUUCCACAUACCCACAAUCCAAAAAAAUUUCAUUCCAUAACCCUAACCAAAAUUUUUUUCUACCUCUUCUCACACCCAUAGUUAACACACAACUGUUCUUCUCUGCUUUGUGGACUCUCAGGUAACCCAAAAUCUCUUAGAUCUAUCAUUUUCAUUUAUUUUUUUAUUAAUGUCAAAAUCUUUAUGAACACAAUUGAUUUAUGUUUAUUGAUUUAAUAUAUUUGUAAUAUGGAUUGUGUAAAUAGUGUUUUUUUAUUGAGUUGUAGGAAAGUAAAAACUAGGUUUAACAUUCCACCAUAUCUUCUGGUUCAUUGUUAAACCCAUAAACCCCAAAAUGAAUGAAAAUAAGAAAAAUGAAUUAUUUUUAAAUAUCUUUUAUACUCAAGAUAAUAUAUAAACAUUUUACAAUACAAAAUUUUUUUUUGAUCUUGUAGGAAAUUUCCUUUGAUAGGAUUUUCUGUUUGUUUUCAAGGAAUAUUGUAGUAUAUUGUGAUGAAGAUAUUGAUUGGUGUUAUUUGAAAAAUAAUUUUUUAGAAAAUUAUUCUCAAUAUUAUCAUCUCCCACAAAAUGAAAAAUGAAAUAGUUUUCAUAUCAUAUUGGAGUCGGUUUGGAAUGUUGGAAUUAACAAUGAGAAAUUAAUUUUAUUUUUUAUUUAUUAAUGUAAAUGAAUUGUUUUUUUUUUAAAUUUAAAUAGGAAUGAAAAUUUUUAUAAUUAUAAAAAUGAUCAAAUAUUAUAUUUUGAUUUUUUUUUCUAUUCUUUUACAUGGUAUUAUGGUUAAUAUCUCAUCUUGUUCUAUAUAUAUUUUUUAUAUUCUUAAAAUAUGUUUUUUGCUUUUUGUUUUUACUUUCUUUUCUUAUUGUUUUUAUAUGUGUUGACCAAAAUUUAGAGUAAUUUGAGAUUGGCGAUAAAAUUUUCCUUUCAAGGUUAGAAAAUUUCUAUAAAAUCAUUUUAUUACAUAAUUUUUUCAAUUCCUUCCAUAAAACUCUUCCUUUUUCCUUUUUUAAGAAGAUGUUUGAUAAUUUUCUUUUGAUUUCUAUGAAAUUUCCUUUUAUUGGACUGUUUGUUUAUUUUCUAAGAAUAUUAUAGUAUGUUAUGAUGAGGAUAUUGGUUGGUGAUAUUUGAAAAUUAAUUUUUGAGAAAAUUAUUCUCAAUAUUGUCAUCUGCCACAAAAGGAUUUUAAAAGUAUGUUUUAUUUUUGCCUUCUUUUCUUAUUGUUUUUAUAUGCAUUGACCAAACUUUGGAGUAAUUUGAGAUUGAUGAUGAAAUUUUCCUUUCAAGGCUAGGAAAUUUCUAUAAAAUCCUUUUAUUACAAUUUUUUUUUUUUUCCUAUUCCUUCCAUAAAACUCUUCCUUUUCUUCAUUUUUCUUUUUUGAUGUUUGAUAAUUUAUUGAUCUAAAGAAUAUUAAAAGUAAAAAAUUUAAAAUAUUGAAUAUUUUUUCCUUUGAUGUUGUUAUUUUAUUAUUAUUUUUAUUUGAACAUAUUUUUCAUAUCCAAAUUUUCUAUUAAUUAUUUUACUUUUAAAAAAAAUAUCAAUUGAAGUUAUGACUGAAAAAUCAAUAAUUUUUAUGAAAGGUUCUUUAAUUCUUUCUCAUACUAAUUUUUCUCUUAACAUUUCUUAAUAGUGAAUUAGGUUUUUUUGUUUUAUAUACACAAUUUUCAUGCUUGUUAUAAUAUCAUGUCCUAUCAUAUUAGUAGUUGAAAACAUUUUUAUAUUUUGUUACUAAAAUUUUAUUUUAUAUAAUUUACAUGAAUUUUAAUGGACAUUGUUAUUUCACAAAAUGAACAUUAAAAAAAAUAUUGAAAUUAAGAAAAUCCUUCCAAGAAAUAAAAAAAUAUAAAAAGAAUUGGAUGUUAAAAAUGAUUUUUAAAAGCAUUAUGAAUUAUAAAAAAUAAAUUUAAAAGAUUAGUAUUUUCUAAAAUUUUAGAUUUAUAUUUUGAUUUUGUAGUUUUGAUUUAUUUCAUAUUUUCUUGAAUUGUUUUUAUUUGAGUUCAAAUGUGACUACUUUGUUAUGAGAUUCAUUAAAAGGAUAAUUGUUGAUUCUACAGUUAUUGCAUUAAAGGUUUUACUCAUUUAAUGAAUUGUACAUAGUUUCAUACUUCUAAUUAUUGUGAUAUUAAUGUUAUUUUCAUUUGAUUUUAGUUUGAUGACAAAAAACAUAUUCUCAAGUAGACUUUGAUGAAAUAAGAGGAGAAUGGAUUGCUUUUGUGUUAUAACUAAUCAUGAAUCAUGUUGAUGUAUCGUGAUCAUGCAUGGUGAGUCCCUUAGUUGUUAUAUAAAUUUUCCAUUGGUAUUGUAUAACAUUACUUAUUCUUUAUGAACUAUUUUUAUAUCAAAAUAGGAAAAAGAAAAAAGGAAACAUUAGUACUUAGAUUUGUUUAUUUUUUUAUAACAUCACUAUGGACCCCGCAUUUUCGGCUCGAUGCGUUUCCCACUCGAUGGCGAGCUCGAUUUUUAAUUUUGAAAAAUGAUUUUUAUUCAUUAAAAAUGACUUGGAGUCGCCACUUAUUUUUGUUUUAUUUUUAAAGGGUAAACAAAAUAAGAAAAAAAAACCCUAAGUGUGACUCCUUAUUUUAGAAAAGGCGAUCUACGAAAAAACCGGAUUGGGCUCGGGGGUUAGGUUACUUAUCGGGAAGGUACGGUAAAGACCGUAGCACCCCUCUAAGUCCCUAAAAUCGGGUCUUUACUAAUAGAAUGAAGCUGACGUGGCAGUCAACAAGAAAAUCGAUGAAUAGUCAAAUCAAUCAUGCACAAUAUGAGAAGCAAAACAUGUAUAAAGAAUGAGCGAAAUAUGAAUAGAUGCGUACCUGGACGGCAAUCACGAACGCGCUAUCAUGAAACAUGGUUAGUGAACAAUGAACAGAUAUAAUUAAGCGCAUAUCAAGGAAUAGAGUAAAUCAAUCAUGCAUAGCAAAUAAAUAAAUCAAUUAGUUAAUCGAUUAUAAAUCACAUAUGUGGGGCCCCACCAAAGUCCAUUUAUUUUGCAUGAUUUAAUUCCAAUAACUCCAUUACUUGGAAUUACGGAAAUGAAUUCUUGCUUAUUUUAAAACGUUUUAAAACGAAGGAGAUGUGGAAAUUAUUUGCUAGAAGGAAAGAUGACAACAAAAUUUUAUUGGAAAUGAGAUUUUUGAGUGAUCCUAAAAAUUCUAAAGAUGAAAAUUUGAAAAAUAAAUAAAUAAAUAAGAAUAAAAUAAAAUUAUUUGAAAAUCUAGAAAUUGGAAACUAUUUGAAAACGGGAAAUUUGGAAAUUAAUUUAAAAUUGAAGAUAAAGAAAUAAAUAGAUAAAUAAAAAAAUAAAUAAAGGACACGUGACUCAAAAUGUGGUCAUGCAUAGUUGCUUGUAAAUUGGACAGCCAGUUGCUUCUCAUACUCUCAGCGUCAAGAUGUUCCUUGAUGUAGUUGCCCCAUGUGUCAUCCUUAGCCGUGAUAAUGCAUGUGUUUUCAUCCCAAUUAAAGUCACUUUGAUCAAGAAGUGCCUUGAUAGUGACAUAUUGCAUCCUCAAGACAUCAUACCGAUUCCUCAGUUGGUCCUUAUCCAUGGAUUCCCGCGAAAUAAAUCUGUUACCAGAACAUUGUAACCAUUGCAUGCAACGCGAUAUGCGGAGUCCCUUGUGGAUGAAUUUUCGAAGCCAAAGGCAUCAAACAAGAGCAGUAUCCCUGCCAACUGCGUGUUCAUCCAGCCGCUCAAUCACGCCACUAACAUGGGCACAGCGGAAAGCAUCAACACAACCUUAAUUCCUCUCUUGUAGCUGUUUAGCAGAUCCAAGUCUGUACAAGACUUGAUCUAUGGCAACGUCAUGAGGAUAUAGCCGCGGGGUAGCAUAUGAAUCCAAUCAAUGGGAAAUGGGCAUUAGGAAUGGUGGUCAGGCUUUGCAUGAUUUCAUACACGUGAAUGAGUGAUGCUGGGACCUUCAUGGAGGCUUUGAGUGGAUCUUUGGGCGGCGGUGUAGAAAGAGAAAGGUAGCAGGAAGAAAAGAAUGGGUGUGGGCUUGGUGGUAUGAAACGUGUGGUGUUAAAGAGGAAUGUGGCGUACAUGAGGAAAGACAUGGUGAGUGGAAUGAGCUAUGGGCAUGAGAGAAAUAGAGAAAAUGGGUAUGAAGGUUAAUGAGAGAGAACGGGCGUGUGAGGGUGGUAAAGGAAAAUGGAUGAUGGAUGCACAUAGGUGGAAAUGGGAAUGGAUUUGAUAAAGCAUGAAGGUAGGAAUGGGAUUCGGGUGAUAUUAGAUUACCAUGCAUGGAGAAUGUAUACGUGGAGGUCUAUUAUGCAAAGGAACUAAAAACGGGUCAAGUGAAGGGCUGUUUAGGGAAUAUGGCAUCAGUUUCAGGUUGAGGGGAUGGGGCCCUUGGGCCAUUUGGCUACCCACAAGUAUGAUCUACAAAAUAGGGUCCUUAUGUCAGGGUCAACUUUCGGAUUUUUGCAAAGCUGAUGCUACCAAUUUAAACUCUGAUCAAUCAGUGUCCGCGAUCUUGAGUCCUUCAAGCUGAUGCAACGCGUCUUUAGGAAGGUAGAGCCUCCAAUGAAUACUUUAGAUUUCGAUUUUUGAACAAUCAUGGCAGAACCCUUCAUCGAUUGGCAUUAUCAUUACCCUGGGAUUGCAGCAAGAUGCAUGGAAGGCUUCUUCACUAUUAUCACAAAUGAGCAUAUACAAUAUAUUUUCUGAAUGACCACACGAUUUACAUGGUUGGGAUGAGUUGCUAUUCCCACUAACUCCCAGAACUUCAAGAAGCUCCUGACUCCUCAGUAUAGAAAUGCGUGUAAUCAUUACCCUCUUGUUUGGCAUGACCUGUGCAUACCCAAGAAUGACACCUACUAACCAACCAAUUGAUCCUUAUUGCAUUUAGAACUCAUCUGCAUCCCCUAGUCAAUUUCAGUUUCUGACAGUUAAACCAAAAAUCCCCAGUCUCAGCAAUGACAGUAGUCUCACUUGACAACAUUUUCUGUAUAUGCUGGAACAGAACAUAAACCCUCAAAGGCUCCUCGGGAUCAGACGUAGGAGACUGUCCCUCAGGAACGUAAACUCUAUGGUAGAACUCAUAGGCAGUGAUAUUGCAUUCGAGCCUCUUGGAGAAUGACUUGAAGAAAUCUUUCAUCAAAAUGCACCCAAGCUCAAGCCCAUAAGCACACCAAACACCAUUAUUGGGUUCGUUACAUCACCAUGCUACGGAGUUUAUACAACAGGAAGCUCUAACUGAUGAUGGUUCUGGUAGUGAUUUGCCAAUGGGAACUUGGCCAUCAAGUGAACCCGAUAUCAGAAGCUGAAGUUAUUACCUUGUACUCUUCUAUUCCCCCAUUAUCAGCAAUUCCAAUGGAAACAGUAGGAGAGCCUCAAGACUGUGUAUCCAUUCAAUAACUCUGUUUCUCAGUCAGGAUGCAAAAAACUCCCCAAUGAUUCUACAGCUGCAACCACAGGAGCCCCACUACUACCAGUUCCUUCACCCAUUCUGACAGCAACCAAAACCAGACCAAUGACUUGAACUUUAGACUUCCCCAAUCCAUUAAAUCCAGAAACCACUUGGAGUUAGAAACAUUUUCUACCUCAUCCUAGAACUUUCAGGUAUUUUACAAAGUAAUGGUCGGUAUUUUUCAAAAGCAAAAAGAAAAAAAGGUAAGACUCAAGAAACAGAGCAAACUCAGAAUUCGUUAAUCAAGACUCCAUCUCAUGCUGCACUCAAUGGAUCUAAACAGGUGAGACAAGCAGGGAGCAGUGGCAUGAUUAAUCAAUCUCAAAAAUAAUCCAUAUAUCGGUUAUUGACAGGAAAAAACAAAGAAAGCAGAAAAGAACCCAAACAGAGCAAAUACAAAAACAAACUCAAAUUCAGCAAAUCAAUCCACAAUCAAGAAAAACUAACAAUGCUCAAGUAGCCUGAGAAAAAUGAUGAAGAACAGUGAUAAUGAAAAAUACCCUAAAAAAAAGAACACGAUACUUCAUACCUGUGAAACUCCUCUCCGAUGAAGCUCACCUACCAAACCAAUCUGCUCCCAUCCUUGGCACUAGAACCCCUCUCCGUAGCAGCCUAAGCUCAAGGAAAUCCCUCUCCAGACCGAUCUCUUCUUUCUUCUCAAGUUCUUUUCUCCUCCUCUCAAAAUAUCUCUCCCUGAAAAACGGCAGCCAAAACCUCCCUCUGCAGCUGGCCUGCCCCCGUAACAGAAUACCCCCCUCUAGCUUUCUCACUACCCUCAAAAGCACCCUCUCUCUCCUGCAGCUGCAAGCCUCCACUACCCCCAUGCAGCUGGCAGCCUCUACUCCUCUAACGGCCAGCAGAUUCUCCUUCUAGAAAAUUCUUUCCCUUUUCCAGGUGUCUUUCCCUGAUUGGCCCAUCAAUUCCACUAUAGUGAUUCUACAGUGACCAAUCCUAAGAAGGCACGUGGCCUUAUGAGAUUGCGACACUUGGCAAACACAGGCUGCCAAAAAGUGAGCCCCCAAAUGGGGGUCUACAAUCACAUUUUUAUUUUCAAUAAGAACUCUAAAACUCAUUAAACUAUAAAAUGCAGAUAUACACUCUUGAGAGGACAAUAUGAAGAAUAAAAAGAAAUAAGAAAGAAGCAACAAGAUUUGGAUUUUUAGAUGUGACUCUUAUGUCAUACAUUAUACGACAUAAAUGUUAUUUUAUUUGGAAUUGAGAAUUGUGGGUUUUUUUAUGCAACUCUUGUGUCAUUUGGUUAGCCGGUUUUAUGCAUAUGAAACGUAAGUAUACAUGAAUGUUGGGAUGCUUAACAUUUCUAAAUCAUGUUUUAAUGUGUAUUCACUUUUCUUUUUUAGUUUUGGUGGGUUUGAUAUACUAUGUUUUGUGAACAUUUGAUAUACAAAUAUUAGUGGAUGAUGUAAUGUAUUAUAGGUUAAUCCAUAAGCAUAAAGAAAAUAUAAGUUAAAUGUAAUAUGAUUAUUAUAUUUAUGGACAAAAUUUACACACGUUGAUCUUAUUUAUUAAUAAGCAUUACAAAAAUCUAUAGGCUAGUCAACAAAAAACAACCAUAUCUUCUAUAAUCAUUUACAAUGAAGUGACACCAUAAUUCAAAGGUGAUGCAUUUAACGUGACAUCAUAACUCAAAGGUGAUGCAUUUAAUAUGACACCUUAUAUAUCUCACAUAACUCUAUAUCAAAUUAAGCAUCACUAAAAAUAUAUGGUGUCGCUUCUAAAUGCGUCACAAUUUAUCUGUUUUGGUGUCGCUUCCAAAUACGUCACCAAUUGGUACCCUCUAUGGUAUUGGUGGAUAAGGUGACGCUAUGUUGUAGCGACACCCUAUGUUUAGGGUGACUCGUUAUAAAUGUCACCAUAUAUGUUUUUCCUUGUAGUGUCAUUGGGAAGGUUUUUUCCAUUUUUUAGAGGGGUUUUCUAAAGGCUUCUAGGGUGAGGACACUGUUCUCAUAUUGGCUUUUUUUCCCCCUUUUUAGAGGGGUCUUCUAAAGGCUUCUAAGGUCAACUAGGAGAGCAUGUUGAUUGAUGCUUUGAUAUGGAUACCAGAUGCCACAUUUCAUCUUGUUGAACACUGGUUAGCUAUGGACUUGUUACUGCUUUACUCUUCUGUUUCGAGUUAACUUUGGAAAUGAAUCUGAAUAUAGACUAGUAUUUGCAUCUUGAUGUUUAGAGAAUCAUAUUUUAGUUGUUGUUUAAAAUUCAUUUUGGCAUGUUCGAUUGCUUCAAGCUCAUUUAUACAAUAAUGAAAUGGAGAUUUAUAUAUUUGUUAUUGGGUUGGCUCUCUGUUUGGUUAUCUUUAAGUUCUGCAUCUUUUCUUUUCUCGUUGCCUUAUCUUCUCUGGGGGGUGUCGUUUGAGAAAUACAUAGUGGAAAAAAUGGGAAGCUGAAGGCUUAUCCUGGCAUCGACCUCGCGUUAGGGAACGACUUGAUCGAAGAACAUAUGAAUUUUUCAAAUACCCAGAACUCACAUCAAAAGAAGCAUCGGAGUCAAGGUCAAACACAUCAUCUGACAAGGAAUAUACCUUUGCCUUUGGUGACUUUAUUGACUUCUGCAUGAUGGACAUCCGAGGGUGGGGACUGGAAGAGAAAUGAUGAAUUUGCCCAAGAUAGUUUGUCUAGAAAGGAACUUGUAUUAAAUGAUGAUUACCCACUAUGUCAGAUGUUGAAAUUUGGGUAUGACAACUCCUGGUGGCAUCAGAAAGAUGAGUUGCACAAUCCUUCUCACAGUUGAAAGCUUGACCUCCGAAGUUGGGCUUUUUCAUGGCCAGACAAGAACAGUGAUCACAAUAGUAUGAGCCAAGCCUGUCACGACCCAAAUUCUAGGUGAACUUAACCAUGACUCCAAAUCAAAGGUUUAAACUUAAAGGUUACAUCUAUUCAAUCUAGUAGUCAAUCCUGAUAACUUGAUUUUUUUUUCUUGAUAAAACAAUAUCUAAUCCCAAAUCAAUUUAUUAAGCUAAUAACUUGAUUUUUUUUCUCAAUAAAACAACAUCUAGUCCCAAAUUAAUUUAUUAAGCUAAGAUUUACUAUAUCAUAUUAUUUGAUUUUAUUUUUCAAAAAUCAACCAUUACACUAUCACUUAUUUGCAAGUAUAAUAAAUCUGUCAAACAUCUUAUCACCCAAAAUGAUAACCCAAAUAUUUACAAAAAAAAGUUUUACAAAUUAAUAAAAUAUAGUCUAAGUUAUAAAAGUUCUUAUAAAUUAAAUUAGUAUGUGCUAAAAUAUAAGAUAACUGAAAAAAAAAAAAAAAAAAAAAAAACCAUUAUUAUUAUGGUUCCUUAAAAACUAUAUUUGCAUCUAAAAAUUUUAGAAAAUAAAGGGAUGGACAUUUCCACAUUACUUAGUAAGGUAUUUUACACCCACACAAAUUAGAAAUUCUAAGUCAAUAAAACACAAUCAUAUAUCAAAGUGUAAUUUUACAUCUAAUGUACUACAACUAUAUACAUUUAAACUAAUCAAAAUUAUCACUAACCAUAAUCAGACUCCAAAUAAUACAAAUAACAUUUAUUAUCUCCCAAAAACAUAAUGUGUAAUUUUGUUUCCAAAGAAAAAUAUAAAAUAAAAGUUUUAGGGUUAAACCACCCUACAUCAAAUUUGAAAAUCUAAUUGUUAAAACUAAAAUCAGACUCCGUAAAAAUGUUCUUUAUGUUAAAUAGAGUGUUUUGCUAAAAUCUCAUGCAAAACAGAAUUCAUUUGGCUUGUCGGAUGACAACCCAAAUAUUUGUUGCACCUUCCUUGUUUCUUCUCUUCCUUUGUGUUUCCGUUUGCACUCUUCUCUCUACGGAUCUGGUAAAUAGGGUAGCCCCUGGUACGCUUGGGGCUGGAUUGAAUCCUAUUCGAACUAUAUCUAACUUGAUCUUGUCCAAGCUAGGAAGGUUUUUGGUCUCGAUGACAUUGGAAGUUUCAUCAUUGCUAAAGAAAGGGGCGGCCAAAAAGGCUUAGCGACGACCCUCUCUCGACUUAAAGGAAACGACUUGUCCCAUCCAAUGCCCUACUUUUAAGUGCUCGGUAUGUUCACUUAAUCAAAUCUAGAAGAAGCUUGGCCUCUGUAGAGCAUGAAAAGGCUAGUUUUGAAGCUUUUAAUCGAGGACUUAUUUGCCCUAAAGCCUGACUUCUUAGGAAGAGAAAUGGGCUUGACUUCUUCAUCAACCUCGGAAUCGCAUUCUAUCACACUGGUGGUACUUCUUGUUGAAUUAAAAGAUUGGAUGAGUCUUUUUGUACCCACCCGCCACCCCUGUUUGAGAGUGAUUAAAUAUCAUAACUUCCUUAAUGGACCUACGGACUAGCUAAGGUUUACUUACAUAGUUGUUCUUUCUUUUCUCAAUUUCAAGUUAAAGUUAGCGUUUUUCAGCUUACUGUUUGCUUUGGUUGAGUAGCCGCCUUAUGACCCUUUGCUUUUGAAUGAAAUCAUCUAGAACCUCUCAGAUCGGAUUCCAAUCACCUUAGUGAGUCUCCUAGGUGCGAAGCCAUUCUUUAAGCCCAAAACAAAAGGAGAAGUGAAGUCACUAUCUAGACAAAGGGGCUUGCCUACUUAUAAGGUAGGAGUUCACACCGGGGAAUCGCUUUCUUAAUUAAUUAAAAGCGAGCCAAACUCACCACCUCAUGUACCAAAGUCAAACGGUUGUUCUUCCUUCCCCGCUCCCUUUUUCUCUACAUAUGUGAUGGCGGGCAGAGCGCUCUAUAUGACCGGUGGUGGGUUACCAGAGAAGAUGGGACAACUUCUUUCUCUCUUGCCUUGCUCAAUCUUCCUUUUCUGAUUGAAAGUAGCAAGCCACACCACUACUGGUACAGAGGUCGGAUAGAAGGUUGCUUUUUCUAUAUGUUCAGGCGAAGAACAUCUACGGCACAGUCUUCGCCAAGCAAGAUGAUGUAACUCCUCAAAACAUAAAAAGAGCUCUUAUAUAUGUAAAAACAUGAUAUAUGUGUAAAUGAAUUAUAGCCAUUUUCAAAUAGAUCAGGAUCGUCAGAUGUUUGAAAUGGAAAGUCAAUUUUUCUAUAUGCAUGUAGAUAUCUAUAGGGGAUUAUAUGAAGGGGAUGUUAUUAUUUUAGAUAUAAUCAAUUCCCUUCUCGGAGCCCACUAAGAUCCGGAUCUCCUACGGAAAUGAUUUAGAAGAUCCAAAACCAAAAAUAGUGGUAUUUGCUAGCAACAACAUAAUGGAGGCAGUCAAUCAAUAUAUAUUGAUCUAAAAUCUGAUUCAAAUCCAAUAUAGCACCUAUGGGUACAUAAAAGAAAGGCAAGAGAGAAAAGAAGUCCAUACUUUUCAACAAAGCUUUAAGUGAGUAGGGGUGUAGCAGAUUCAUGCACGUCGAAUAUAAAUGCAGUUGGAUGAGUAGUCGCGGAUUCACAAUGCCGGUUAAAAAGCCAAUCUUAGGGUUGCAUUCACUCCCCUUCUAUAUCUUGCAUCUAUAGUAUUUUUGUCCUGGUGGAUCUCUUUAUCAUUUAAUAAAAGUUUGGAAUCUUGGGUUACUAAUUGGUGGAAUACUAGGCAAUCUAAAACUUUUUUGAAUGAUAUUCAAGAAAACAAUCAAUUUCCCAUCAUUUGCACUAUGAAUGGAAAUGAAAUUCUAGAUCUAGAAUCAGAUGAAUGUGCAACAGUCAAUUUCCUCCCUCACAACCUAAUUGUCCACUAAAAACAACCUUUUUUACUAUACGCUAUUUGGCCGCUAGAAGAACUUCAGUUCUUAUAGGUAAAUGCUCAAUACCCAAGUAGGCCUACAAAGUUGAUCAUGAUCAAGUGCUUUUUGGGUCGUCUUAGACCUUGCAAUAUCUCUCCGGCCCUCUAGCACUCUGUUAUGGCUCAAUCACUUACUCUAGUUCUGGAGUUCUAGGUCCUCUAGCUAUUAGUGCAGGUAGCUCUCCUUCUGGUAAUGCAUUAUAGGUUGUCUUCCUUCCACCUUCCUGUUUUCAAGAAAGCUUAUUUUCUUUCUAAGAAAAAUCAUACAAUCUCGUAUGAGAACGGGAUUGAUGGGAGGCAUAUGCUCCCAGGCUACACAAUGUCUUACAGGGCUUACCCAGUUAGAAGGUAUGUAACUAAAGUCUCAAGAGAAUUGAAAUCGACGAGAAAUCAGAAUCAAUGUUAGAGAUUAGACUUGGCAUGGAAAAAGGAGUAUAGUAAGAUGAUAGAGACCUCGCACGAGAUGCUUACUCGGAUUCAUGCCCAUAAAGAGUAGAAGAUUCAACACAAGUGCAAGAAUAGGUUUCACAGUUAAGAAAGGUUGAGAUUCAGGUGAGUGAGUGAGUCCUCACUGACUUGAGCGAUUUCGAUCACCUAGCAGUUUAUUUGGUAGGUAACAUCGCUAAAGCAUAUCAUCUGAUCUACAAAUGAAGGAAAUCAAAGUGAGACGACACCGUCCUCUGUAACGCAACGAUAGUUGGCCCUUUAUCAUCAACUAUUUGGUAGACUUGGUAAAAGAUGUAAGGCUUUAGCUAGUACACGAAAGUGCAUACCAUGAUUCUUCUGUCUAUCAAUAACUGCAUGCAUUGCACGAUGGAUGUGAAGAAGUAGGCCAUUAUCUCGACAAUAAUGAGCCAAGCUAGUAUUUGCAGUGAAUCCCCCUGUUAAGUAGUCACAUUAAUGGAACAAGAACACAUUAGCGUAUGAAACAGAGCUGAAAGCGCGAGUGCACAAUCUCAAAAACGGCAAAUUCACGUUCUACUUCCUCAAUCUCGAACUCUGUCUAUUGGGAUGAGCUCCCCUUACCUGCGCUAUUCUAUGAACGAACUUCCUUUAUAAACCAUAAAACUGGAACAAUCACUGUUCCAGGGUCUGUCUCAGAGUUCUAUCUCGUGCUUGACAUCAAUUGCAUCCAAACCUUUAAUCGGGUAUACUUUCCACAAUAACAAGCGAGUCAUAGUUAGGUAAAAGUUAUACAGAAAGAUGACAUCGUUGGCGAACUUGAAGCUAGUUAGGUAAAUCCCCUUAUAUUCUUCUUUCUUCUCCCAUAAGACAUUCCUUAUUAUUAUUAUUAUUAUUAUUUUCAUUUUCUCAAUUUCUUUAUCUUUUCAACUUUAAGACACCAUUUUGCACUUCUUCUUUUUUAUUAUAAUUAUUAUUCUUUAUCAACCAUACCAUGUUAAGAAAUUUAUUUAUUUUAAUCCAAAAAUCUACUUAAAUACAAUUUCAUACUUUUCUUAAUAAAUUAUAUAUAUAUAUAUAUAUAUAUAUAUAUAUAUAUAUAUAUAUAUAUAUAUAUAUAUAUAUAUAUAUUAUUUCUUAUUAUAACAAAUUUAAAAUGUCACAUGUAUCAUUUUUUUAAUAAAUCAAAUUAUUAUUCUUUAUUUCAUAUUCUACAAUUAUAAAUUAUACUCAAUAUAUGAUUUAUUGUCUUACGAAAAAUAUACUGCUAUAUUCUUAAUUAAAUUUAUUACAAGUCUACUUUUCAAAAAAAAAUUAAUUUGACUUUAAUUACUUGAAACAUUUUUAUUAUGAAAUUCAUUUAGAACAUGAUUUCAUUAAUUAUAUAUUUAAAAAAAAUCAAUUUUAGAAAAAAAUCUGAAACAUAAAAUAAUUCUUCAACAUCAAGAAGCUGAAAUUCAUAAUAAUAUUUAAUCCUUUAAUUUUACCAAUAUUUAUUUACCAAUAAAAUUUAAGCAAUAUUCUGAAAUUUAAUUCCAUUAGUUAUUUAGUCAUUCAAUUUAUAAAAUCAUAUUCUCAACCUUUGGUAUAACUUUUAUUUAAUUUACUUCAUUUGUCAAAUUUCUCAAUUGAAUCAAAAUUUCAAAAGUUAAAUUCACUAAAUUCAUAUUUAAUUAAUUUAGCCUUUUAUAUUCCCUAAAUUAAUAUAUCAUAAUUUACUCUUAAUGUAAUUUCAAUUCAAUUUUAUUUGAUGUUUUGUAAUUCUAUAAGGUUUAAUUCUAAUUAUAAAAAUUAUUGAUUUCUUAUAAAAUUAAAUUCAAUUUCUUUUUAAUUAUCCAUUAUAACAAUUUGAUAUAAUCUAAAUUUUUAUCAAGUUUUUCUUACUACAAUUCUCUAUAAUUAAAUUAAUGGUCAUAAUAUACUUAAUAUUCAAUUUUAGAGACUAUAAUAUCAAUAAUUAUUUGAUGGUUGAAUUUUUUUCCAAAUUUAAAUUUAAUUUUUGAAAUUCCUACUCUUUGCAUAUGACGUGAUGGAAUUUUUAUACUAUUGACUUUUUAUUAACUUUUUCAAAAAAUUUCUUAAUUAAAUAUUAACACGGGGAUUUUCGUCAUUCUUUUUUAACAUUUGACUAAUGAUUUUAUGAUAACUUUAAUCUGACAUGUCAUUAAAAAUCCGGUUGUUAUAGAGCCAGUCAAAUUAAGCCUGUUAUCCGAGGAGUGAAGCCACUGCCUUGUUCUAUCUCCGAUGGCCUGCUCAGCUCCUUCAACCCCCAUCGCUCUCCUCUUUCCAAGUUCUCCAUUUUCAGUUUAGAGCCAACAAGGAUCGCAGAAAUCCUUAAAGAUUGACCUACAUGGUAUCGUGAGUACCGCGAUGUGGAUGUUCUUAAUGUGUUGUCUACUAGAGCCAAAUGGGUGUUUGAUAAGACCCAGUGAAGGUGUAAAAAUUAUAUGACGAAGCUUGCAGAAAGACUUUGAGUUGAGGGAAGGCAUCUCAACGAAGUUGGGCUUUUGUAUUGUGAAUCUGGCAAAUUACCUAUACUGCAUGGAUCAUCACUCUUUUAACGUGGAGGUACACAGGUCCUUUGCAAUGUGACACUUGGGGCACCACAUCAAGCUGGUGAUGCUCAACGACUGGCUUCUCUGGACGGGUCCUCCAACAAAGCGCUUCAUGCUUCACUGAAAUUUCCCGGAGUUCUCAAUUAAUGAAGUUGGCCAACUCCUUAACCUGCACUGUUCCGCAGCAGUCACAUAAAGAUUUGACAUUGAAAUUGAUCAGGUUUUUCCUCUGCCAAUGGUGGUGGGCGCGCUUUGUAUGUAGAUUCCGAAGGAACUUCCAACUUGAUGGCUGUGAGUGGUAAGGUUGGAGAAGAUACUACUGGGUCUGCCCCAUUAGUUUUCCAUUGUUAAGGUAGUUUGGUGCACAGCUUCCUGGAUCAUCUACACCACGAGCACCUCCAGCCGCCUGUUUUGAUCAGUUUCUGGAUUUCCAUCUCCAAAUUGUGCAAGCAGUGACUGAUAUGGUGUCCAUACAAGCGGCUACUGAAAUGGUUCAAACCCCAAAUGCUGAAGGGAAAGGAGCUUUUGGAAAAUAUCAUGAAGAAGACUCACCCAUCUUACAUGAAAUUAUACACAACUCCAUGGACCAGAACCGGAACCCAGACUUAAAUUUGUCCAAGAGAAGAUCAGUGUAAUACAAGUCAACUGCAGUCAUUCCUGAAAGAAGUGAUGAGAAGAGUAAACCUGGAAAAGCAGUGAGUGAAACAAGUUUUGUGACAUUGAACAAUUUGCAGAUGGGUGUUCCCACAAGCUCCUCUCCCCUCUUCCUACGUGCAUGAAAUUCCUACGUGCAUGGCCACCUUCUUAGGUGUGCAAUUCUGCGCAUAAUUCUCAAGCGUACUAUCACCCUCUUCUUUUUUGAAAAAUUGAUUUUAAAUUUAAAAUUUUGACAAAUUCAUUUCCCUUUUAAAAUCCCUCAGUAAUUCUCUUCAAAUUAAUAAAAUCUAUUUUCAAAAAAAAUUUGCUGCCAUUUUCCUUUUGGCAUAGACCUUUUUCUAUUUUCUUUGAUUUUUAAUCAUUUUCCAAUUUUUUAAUAAAUAUGAAUAAAUUCUAUGUUUUUAAAAAUAAUGGAAUUUUGUCCAAAUUUCUAUUAUCUUUUUCUCCAUGAUCAUUAGAAAGAUGAAAUUCCUAAAAUUAAUUCAUGCAAAUAAAUUGGACAUUGGUAGGCCCAACAUAUGAAUUUUUCUCCUUUGAUUAUUGUUUUUAAUUGCUACACUUGAUUGACUAAUGAUUGAUCUCUGUCUUGCUCUAGCAUACAUGAGAUUAUUUUGUGCUUGUUAUUGUACACUAACCAUGUUUCUCACGAAGCGCUCAACUUAUUCUCAAGUACGUUCUUUCCUUUUCCUAUUCGUUUAGUUAUAACCAAUGUUUUCAAAAUCGGACCGAUCAUUGAAUUGGAAAAGUUACUGGUUCACGGUUCACUGGUCGAAUCGGCGGUCAAAUCACGGUCAAACUAGUGAUGUCAUAAAUAUAUAAUUUAUAAAUUAUUAAAAUUUAAAAUAAUUAUAAAAAUAAAAAUAAUAAUUUAUAUAUUAUUUAAAAAUUAAAAUUUUAUUUAAAAAUUAGAAAAUUAGUUUCAAAUUAGAAAUUAAAAUUAAAAUCAUAAUUUUAAUUUUAAUUUUCAAAUUUUCAAAUUCAUUUUUAAAUAAAAAAAAACUUAUUUUAAAAUCAUGAAUUUAUUUAAAAUUAUAAUAUUUUCAUUAAUUUAAAUUAAAAUCAUAAGUUUUAAACAUCAUGAAAUAAAAAAUAAUAAAUAUAAAAGAAAAUAAAUUAUACUGAAAUGAGGUAAAAAAUAAUUUAAAAAAAUGGAAAAAGAGAGGAGAGGAACAAGCAAAAAAGGGUUCCAACAGGGUUUUGGGGGGUGGGGUUUCCAUUUCUAGCGCCAGGUGGGGGCCCUUCCGGUGGGCCAAAAGGGGAAAAGCUUUUUGGCUUUUCCAGUGCAAGGGGUGCCGAUGGGGUGGGGGGUUCCAAUGGGCAAGAAGAGCUCUUCCAGCGCACGCGGGUAGGAGUGGCGACAAUGGGGAAAAAAAAAAAGUUGAACCGGAUGGUUCCAUCCGAACCGUCCGGUUAGUCGGCCGAACCACCGAUUUAACUAGUCCGACCACUUUCCAGCCCAAUUGACCAAACCAGAUUGAAACCGUGACCAGCCGAUCCAAUCCAAUUUUUAAAGCCAUAAUUAUAGCUCAACCAUAACACAUCAUUGAUCAUUACUUGGUAUUUGUUGACUUUUUGAUCAAUUGUCAUUCUUAUAUUAACUUGAUUAUUAGAGACCUAAUUUUAGGGUAUAAAGGGGUAUUACGAUUUAUCAUCCUACCUUCUCAACAAGUAACCUGACCCUUGAACCCAGACUUGGUUUUUCAUAAACCCGUAUUUUCCUUUCAAGUUUCAUACUUAGAAUUUUUUUUUUUCCAUUUAAAAAUAAAAUAAAGAUACGUGGCCUAAAACCAUUUUCAUCAAUCCAAAGUGAGUCUUGUCUUUUUUUUUUUCAAGUAAGGACACGAUCACAGGUCUACAAUACUAUUUUAAUAUAUAUAAUGAAAUAUAGAUAUUAACGCCAUCUUAAAGAUAUAAUUAAAUUUUUUGUUUAAAAUAAAUUAUAAUAAUUUAAAAAUAAUAUUUUAUUUAAAAUAAAUUUUAGAAUAAGCAAAGUUGAUAUGUGGACAUAGAGAAUCGUGAACCAUUGUAAAUGUAUUGAUUAUAUCUCUUUCUUCCCAUUUCAUUUUUACUUUAGUUUUUAUUAUUCGUAUCUUUUUCUACUAAAAUUUGAAAAAGAAAUUCACAUUCACUUCUUCUUGGGUGUAUAUCAUAGGAUUCAAAAUGUUUUUAAAAAUUAUUAAAUUUGUUAAUUGUGACUAUAUGCUUAUUUAGGAUCCAUUGAUCUUAAUAACUUUCUUCCCGAUAUAGGAAGAAAAUGACUAUUCCAUUAAUGCAGCAUGCAUUGCUGCUUAUUUAUCAAGCAAAUUACAUUAUUAUUUUCACACCAAACCUCCAAAUUCUCCAUGCAUAUACGCAUCCUAUACUGCAUGGCCAACUUCAGAGAGCUAAAACAAGCUCUUAUUGAAUACAUGAUAGAUAAUGUCCCACUGACCCUUUUACUCUGAUACCCUGAAAUGAGAAAUUUGGAGGUUUUCCACAUCAAGCUUCUUGAAAUUACUGCGCCUUCUCGUAACAAAGAACUUUCCCCAGUUGUAUGCUCUAUACUUUGGCUUUUCCCCCUUCGUCAGCUCCUCCAAGGGCUUCACCCAAACAUGGUGCCCGGGACUCAAAACGAACGGAAUCGAGAACCUUUCCCUCUCUGAAUUCACCAUCACCCUGUGCUCCACACUUUCAUAAGUAUCGUUGCUCCAGACCUGGUUUAAUAUCAGUAGAAUUAACCAAAUGAGUGAAAAAUUCCUUGAGCCAAACACUACUGAUAAGCAUGUACUUGUAAUUCAAAGUUCUUGGGUGGUACCUGAACUAUAUCCCCAACAUUGAUGAUAUAAGCAUCUGGGGUGGGCUUAACUCGAACCCAUUCUCCAUCAGUUUUUCGCUUUACUUCCAACCCUCCAACAUCAUCCUGAGCAAGGAAAGUUAAGGCUCCGGAAUCCUUGUGGCGACCAAUGCCCAGAGCUAGGUGAGGAAUGGAGCAAGGUGGGUAGUGAUUGAGGCGGAUGAAGUUUGUUGAUUCUUCAAAGAGAAGAUUGAAUCUGUUCUCUGGCAAACCUAAGCUCAGAGAGAGGAGUCCCAACAGAUUGACAGCUAGUUUUUCCAUUUCUCUAGCAUAUUCUUCACAUACCUCCCUGUAUAAAUCAGCUCAAUUAGAACAAAAAAACUUAAGUAAUUCACUGUAGUGACUGUGCCUUAGCUGGUGGAAUUUGUACCUUAAUUCAGGAGGGUACUGAGGCCACUGAUUGAUCAGCUUUUCGAGCUCCUUGUCGUCAGGAUUAGGCGAAGCAGGGAUGAAGGCGGGGGAUGACGCCACGAUAUCAAAGACUUCCUUCCAGUCCCUAACGUUCUUGGUAUGCUCAGUAUCGAAAUACCCAAAAGGAUUCACCUCAUCUCUACUCACCUUCCUCUUCUCCUCCAAUGGCAGAGCGAAGAACUUCCUCGCCGCAUCCUCAAUUUUACGACGAGACUCGGAGGGCACCCCAUGGUUGAUGACUUGAAAGAAGCCCCAGUUCUUGCACGCAUCAGCUAUUUGAGAAACAUGGUUGGAAGCAUUGGCGGAAGAGAGAUCAAUGAGGGGGAUGCCUUCAGCUUCGAUAACAGCGAGCUUAGGCCUAUGUUGGGUGUCUUGGAUGAAAGCUGGAUCGACCUCUCCCAUGGCUGUGGUAGUGGUUAGAACUUAGAACUUAGAAAUGGCGGUUAUGCACUGCUGGUGUUAGCUGCACGUGAAGAUGGUGAGGGGGACUUGGCCACUUAGCAGGUGGUUUUUGUAGUGUAGUGGGGUUGGUUUAGUACAUUGAACCUGGACAUAAUUGGGGUUACGUUUUAAGUUUUGGUUGGGGGUGUGGGCUCAUGGGUUGCGCAAAUGUCAAUGAUAAUUGGUCAAGUGAUACCAAGUUAUUUCCAAAAUCUGCAGCCGCAAAGGGUAUCUCUCUCGAUGAUUUUGGCAACGUACAGCACUCUCCACAUUCAAAUGUUUGAUCAAAGAUACGUUUUGUUUAGUGUCGUGUAUAUUUUCGAAUUAAUUACUUCAUAUUUAGGGAUACGUUUUGUUGAGUAUCGUGUAUAUUUUCGAAUUAAAAACUUCAUAUUUAGGGAAAAGUGUGCUUCAAUACGCUAAUAUAAAAAUAUCAGCAAAAUAAGAUCCUAAUUUUUCAUAUUUUAAGGUUUAUAAUGCAAUUGGAAAUUAUUUGGAGAAUUAUGCAUUUUCAGCUCAUGUGUAUUUCAAAUCCAAAAUGCUCUCCACCUUGCCAGCCAAGUCUUACACGUUGAAAGUAAAGAGAGAAAAAAUCUUCAAAAAGCCACCAAAACCAAUUUCUCUUUCUUUUUGAGUUAUUUGAUUCAAAAGAUCAAUAAAAUCCAAUUUUUAAAAUUUAACCCUUUGUUCUUUUUUUUUUCAUUUUGAUAAAAAUAUCUUUACCAUUUUCUUGUAGAAAUAACAUUUUUUUUAAACCUAUAUGUAAAUACUUGAAAUGGUAAGAGACGUGUACAUUAAAAAAAAGUUAUUUUUCAAGUAAAAAUAUAGAAAGGAUUAUUUCAUCCCUUUUAACCAAAUAUUUAACAUGAUCAAGGACUAUUCCCUAAAUGAAGGCAUACGGUAGCAAAUACCCUUAAUCUAAACAUUAAAAGUACAACUUAUCUAGUAUCAAACACUCUGUUUUAAAACCCAUAGCCACUCCAAAUAUCCCAAAUAUUCUUUUCUAUGCAACCUCUCUCUCUCUCUUUCUCGCACAAACACACUAAAAUAUUUUCUCAAACUUGGAUUUUUCUCCACAACUCAACCCUAACUUCCUUUCUAUUUGUACCAAGGCUAGAGAAUAUAGUUUAUACUUGUAUUCCUUCAUGUACCAAGCCCACAAGAUGAUCAAUAAGUUUCUCUCUAGAUUUUACAUUGGAGUUGAUUGAUGAUAGUACCCUUAUUAGGUAGUAUAUUAUCUUCCUUAGGUACUGCUUUUUCCAUCCUUAGAUACUACCUUUGUAACCUUGGGUGCAUGAUUGAAUCCAUUGUUUCAUGGCUACUUCAAGUAAGUCAGGAACUUAUGUACAUGUGUGCUACAUGUCUUAUAGAUACUAAAUUUACAUUCUUUAGGUACUACCUUUACCUUCCAUGGGUACAAAUACGGUUAAUGAUAAGAAUUUUAAUAUAAAAAAGGGAAAAACCCUGCUUGAUAAUAAAAUUGCAUAUAUUUUCUUUCUUUCUUUCCUUUUUGAUUGAUUUUUUUUUUUUUUGGUCUUUGCUUUGGUUUUUAUUUAUGUCUUUGUUUCUUUUAGUCUUUGUGUGUGUGUGUUUUAUUUUAUCUUAUUUUCAUCUCUAUGCAGAAGAUGUAGAAGAAACAACAUCACAUCAUAAGGUGCAUUUUUCCGUUCAUUUAAGACUAAAGGUUUUGGAUUCACAAAAUGGUGGGAACUAAGGGUGAGAAGCUGGAAAAAUGUUGGAUUGAGCUACAUUUGAUCAAUGGUGAAUUUGCAAAAAAGAUUGUAGGAGAGUGUAGACCCUCAAUUUUGUCCCUUUAGCACAUGUUUUAAAGUCCAUUACCAAUACUUUACAGUAAUCUCUUGGUAGCCCAUAGCUACUCACGCUACUUACCUUUCUUGAGCCACCUCGGAGACUCUAGUUGAGGGAUUGCCUAACCCCUUAUUGUGACCCUUGGCAGUUUUGAUUUAGACUUAAGGUUUUCAUUCCUUCUUAGGAUAGCUCUUAGGUGCACUUUUAGGUCCACUUAGGCAUCACCCUUGGCUAAUUUAGACAUUUUGGGCCCGUUUAGACACCUUAAACUCGCCUAGAUUCACCUUAGACCCGCUUAAGCACUUCAUUGGGGCUCAACAUUUUUAUAUAAUCUCUUGAUCAUUAUUGCAUGCAUUUGAUGAUUAUAUUUUCUUUGUUUAUUCAUUUAUUUGUUUGUUUAUUUAUUCAUCCAUUUAUUUAUUCAUUUUUUAAUUUCUAUUACGUCUUGUUUUUUUUUUUCUUUCUUUCUUUCAUUUAUUUACCUACUUAAUAGAGAAUUGUUUAGAUAUUAAAUAUGCAUACAACCCCCUUAUUGAAUGAUGGAAUUGUACAAUCUGAUAUCUCAUUUUCUCUUUCAUUUUCUUUUAAUCGUAUUUCACUUUAUUACCAAUUUCAUGACUUUCAUUAGUUGCUUCUCUUUUCCUUUGAUUUUUUAAUCUUAUCUUAUUUUGUUUUGCAUAAGGAGCACCAUCUUGGGGAGUACAAGAGGAUCUACAUUACUGGUUUGAUCAACAUAUGUUUGAGACUAAAAGCCUUCAAGAUGGCAAAAGAUGGUCAUCACAGCCCCAUGCUUCUUCUUCCCAUCUCUCAUAAUUGAAGCCUCUGUACAAAACUUCAUCAUAUCCUGAACAAUAGCAGCCACAGCAGUUGCAGCCACAGCAGCUGCAGCCACAGCAACUGCAGCCACAACAGCUGCAGCCACAGCAGCUGCAGCGACAGCGGCAACCACAGUUAAUGCUGCAACAGCAGCCACAGCAGCAUAGACUGCAUCAUCCAGUUCAACCUUCAUUUGGUCAUUUAUCAGGGUUGCAGCCCCAACUAUUUAAUCCCCAUCUUUCCCCAGCUCCACUCAUCAUGAACAAAUAUGAAGCAAUGCUUGGGAUAGGUAAUCUGAGGGAUCAAAGACCCAAGUCAAUGCAAAAAGGUAGACCAAAUCAUCGGGUUUCUCAACAGGGCUUGGAUACUAGCAGUCGGAAGAGUGAUGUUGGUGGCCACAGUUCAGAUCCAAGUAUAUGACAGCUGAUGAAAUCGAAAGUAUCCUUAGAAUGCAACGUUGCGGAACAGAUGGAUGAGUAGAAAGGAAAAUAGCAUGAAAAUAGAAAGGAAGUGACCACUUUGUGCACAACACGCAUAUAGUGGGCUGUAAGGGGGAUUCUUUUUUGUUUAGAAAGAAAAGUCAACUUGUAUCACUUACUAAACGAGAUGUGGCUGCAUCCUUGAGGGAAUCUCCCAAUGAGCCACCAUGUAUGCACUUUCCUUAUCCAUGUGCAUUGAAAAAGGAUAUAGAAUAUUCAAUAGAGGAAAGGUGCUGCCAUAUAGAAGGAAGGUGCUGCCAUAUAAACAUGUCACAGAGAGAACACACGGUGGACUUUUCUUUUGGGAGCAGAAAUUCACAUACAAAAAGUAAUCUUUUUUAGAGGAGAUGAACACACGCAAGAGUUUUUUUUUGGGAGCGGUAGAGGACCUGAACGACUAAUUGGGCUGCCAUUUUGACACAUCAAGAAAGUAUUUUUCCAAUACAAUACAGGUUAGUUUUCGAUUUUUGAUACCGUAUUUCCUUUUUUUUUUAGUUUGGGUUUUAGUUGUUUGGUUUAAUUAAUUGUUUGUGAUAAAUUCUUUUAAAUCUCGAUUUCGAACAAUCUUUUAUUUUUCUUAUAUUAAAUGUCUAUCUUUUAUGAUUGCAAUUCAUUAGUUCUAUGCUAGUUUAUUUUUAAUUUACAUGAAAGUUUAAAUAAAGUUUAUAUUUUUAAUUCCAAUUAGUUUAUUUUUAAAUUUGAAUGAGUUAUCGAUCUUAAUUAUUUAGUUUAAUUGACCUUGUGAGAUAAAAUUUAUAUUUUUAAUUCUAAUUAGUUUAAUUUUAGUUUAUUUUUAAUUUGAAUGAGUUAUCGAUCUUAAUUCUUUAGUUUAAUCGACCUUGUGAGAUAAAAUUUAUAUUUUUAAUUCCAAUUAGUUUAAUUUUAGUUUAUUUUUAAUUUGAAUGAGUUAUCGAUUUUAAUUCUUUGGUUUAAUUGUCCUUGUGAGAUAAAAUUUAUAUUUUUAAUUCCAAUUAGUUUAAUUUUAGUUUAUUUUUAAUUUGAAUGAGUUAUUGAUCUUAAAUCUAUUAGUUUAAUUGGACUUGUAAGGUAAAGUUUAUAUUUUUAAUUCCGAUUAGUUUAAUUUUAGUUUAUUUUUAAUUUGAAUGAGUUAUUGAUCUUAAAUCUAUUAGUUUAAUUGGACUUGUAAGGUAAAAUUUAUAUUUUUAAUUCUAAUUAGUUUAAUUUUAGUUUAUUUUUAAUUCGAAUGAGUCAUUGAUCUUAAUCUAUUAGUUUAAUUGGUCUUGUAAGGUAAAGUUUAUAUUUUUAAUUCCGAUUAGUUUAAAUUCUAGUUUAUUUUUAAUUUGAAUGUGUUAUCGAUCUUAAUUCUUUAGUUUAAUCGAUCUUGUGAGGUAAAGUUUACAUUUUUAAUUCCAAUUAGUCUAAUUCUAGUUAUUCAUGUGUUUCUUGAAAUCUAAAUGUUAGUUUUUGAAUGAUAAUUUUGUUAGUUUGUUUGAUUAGGAAGUCAUAAAUUUGUUGUCUUAGUGAUUGUUGGUCAAUUUUUUUUUAGGACCACUGGAAACCCAUGAAGGUUGGCCUUUACUCUCACCACUUUAAUUGAUAAGAUUUUCUAAAAUCUUUAUUUCGUGAUCUUUGUUUCCUUUUGUUUUGAUUGAUAUUUUGUUUUCUAUUUUUGUUAUUUUAAAAAUUAAUUUCUUUUAUUUUAAAACAAAACUCUUUUUCUCAAAAAAACCCUUUUUAAAAUUUUUUUUUUAUUAUUCAUUUAAAGCCUCUAGAAUCAAAAUCUAUUUUCUUUUUUAAAAAAUAACAUGCAACCAUAUCUUAAUCAGUUUGCAUCCUUCUCAAUUUUCAACAAAAAUAUCCUUCUCAAUUUUCAACAAAAAUUUUGGUUUUAAACAAAACGCGAAUCAAAGCUUGUGGUCCCAAAUAAAUGGAACAAUUUUAGGCUAAAUUCAUGUAUAUUAAUUUGGGGAAUUGGUGAAACCCCUACAUAAGAAAAUCUUUUCAAAAUUUACUUUUGCUACCACCCUACUAUUUAUCAUAAUCAUAUUUACUUUUUUUCUUUUUAGGAAUUGUAUACAAGAUAUGUAUGAUAAUUAAUUAUUCCGAGUUCUGAUAAUUUUUGCUAAUUAAUUAGAUAAGCAUGCUAGGAUUUAUUAUUUAUUAUCUAUUAUCUAUUAUCUAACCCUCAUGUUCUGAGGAAGUGCAUUAGGAGUUAUAUAUGCUAUCCAGGUACGUUCCCAAAAUCUCAUGAAUAUGCAUGUCAUUACCCUUGUUUGAUGCCAUACUUGAUUGCCUCGAUGCUUGUUUGAUCAUCCUUGAUAAAAUGCAUGUCGUGUGUCAUAUUUCUGAAUUAACCAUUGAUGUUUAAUGAUAGUGCUUAAGAAGUGGUUCAGGUACGCACCCUAACUCUCCUUUAUUGUGAUUGAUCUCCUUAUUUAGCAUGCUACUUUCUGAAAAUCACCUAGCUUACUUAAGUAUCCAUAAUUAAUCAAUUAAUUGCCUCAUUUCCCCAAUUUAGUCAGUAAAGACCUCUUUAGGGCUUAGAAGGGUGCUACCUCCUAGAGGUACCUUCCCAAUAAGUAACCUGAUCCCCGGACCUAGACUCGGGUUUUUCAAAGACAUGUUUUUUUCAAAAAUUAUGGAGUCACAUUUUAGGGUUUUUCUUUCUUGUUUUAUUUUCCCUUUAAAAUAAAAAUAAAAUAAGUGGCGGCUCCAACUUUUCCAAAACUAAAUAAUUUUUCACAAAUAAAAAAAGAGUCUCGCCAAUCGAGUGGGGACGCAUGUGAAAAAUGCAGGUCCACAGAGAGGUUUCUUGAGGUGGACAAGGUCAGAAGCAAAGAGCCUUUCCCUACUUUUUGGGGUUGGUUCCUUGAGUUCUUAGGAAGAACUUAGUUAACGUGUGAAUUCAUUCAGGGUAAUUUAUGUAAGAUUUUCUAGAUUUUGCAAGUGAAUGCACCUUAGCUUUUCCUAUUGUAUUUGUGUUUUUUUAGGUUGAUUAUUUUAUUGAUUGUCACCACUCAAGGAAUGGAAGCAAUAGGGUCUCUAGAUGUAGUGCCUAAAGGCAAGCAUACAGGCGUUGUUAGGAGUGUGCUUCCCAUGUCCAACAAGCAUAUUGACACCACCCAAAGCCAAGGCAUCUUUGGACUAGGAGUUCUAGCUUCUACUUAUGUGGACUUUGUAGAUGCAGUCUGGCUCUUCGAAAUAUUUAUUGUUAUGUAGUAGUUAUACACAUGUACUUUGUUUAAGUGAAUUGAUUUUUGGAUUUUUACUUAAAUCAAAUUUAAGGGUAUGUUGUUUAAUUUACUAGAGAUCUCUUGUUUGUAAUUCUCGUUAUCAUAUAUAGAUCUUUGUUAGUAUUUGCCAAUUUCCUCAAUAGCAACUGUAUUAGUUAUCAAUGGAAUGAAUCUUGAGUAACUUGUAGUAUCAUUUUUGGUUUUGAAUUGGCUAAUCUUUUUUGGAAGAAUGAAUUAGAUAUAUGAGCUUGAUUGCAAGCAAUAGUUGAGUUUGUUUUGAUCUUGGGGUAUUUGCCUUAUUGAUAGGACAUAGAUUUUGGGUCCAAAUAGUUGGAAAUUGAUGAGCUUAACCAGGACAUAGAUUUUAUCCCCUUGGGAGAACCACAACACUAACCAGUGUUCCUACAAAAGCUAAUAACCAUGAUUUAGAAAUGUGAUUUCCCUAAAGGGAAGCAUUUCUAAUCUUAUUUGAAGGGAAACUUUGAUGUCUUCCUUAAUACACUAGAAUAUUAAUUUAAAAACAACAAUUAAGGUUAUAUUAACUAUUAUAAUAAUUUAUAAAUUACAUAAAUAUGAUAAUAACUAUUAAAAUAAAAGUAUUAAACAUAAAAAUGUUUAAUUCUGUUGGGUAAAAACUUCAUAAAUAUUUUAUUAUUGAACUUCUAUCAUAUGAUCAAACAUAGUGAUGAUCCUUAGUUGGAUUAAUUAACACUUGUUUCAUAAAUUGAACAACAUAUAACAUGAUCAAUAAACAAACAAGUAAACAUCAUACUAGAUAAAACUAUCUCUUAAGAUUUCAAUUAUUACAUGUUUAAAUUACAAAUCAUAUUUUUGCAACUUUCGUAAAGUUAUGCAAUAGAUAUAAUUAAAAUUAUGAAACAUUGAAAAUGUAUAUUGAUUCAUUAUUCAAAUUCAUCAUAUCAUAUAUAUACUUUAGUUGUCCAUAAGAUCAAAUAAUAACCAAAAUUCGAAAAAUAUGUUUUAUGAUCCAAAAUUGAUUGACACUAAUAUCAAUUGUUACAUAAACUUUAUGUGAAAUAAUUAUUUUGGAAAAUCAAUUUGGAUGCAUAAAGCAUAAUAGUUAUAAGAAAUAAAGAAAUGACAAAAUAAUAAUUAUAUUUUUGUCUUAAUCCAUGAUACCGAUAACACUUUUAAAGUGAGUUCGAGUCACUUUGUGAAUUGUUGGGUCAAGGUAUUCAACUCAUCAUUCUCAUUUAGUAGAUGAGACAAUUGUGUGGUAUAUGUUGUUAUAAGCAAAACAACUAAAAACAUAAGAAUACAAUACAACUUAGGACCUUAACUUUAAAAAAAGAUUUAUAACUCUUAAUCUUCUCAUAAAAGAUUAUAUGAGAGUUAUACUCAUUAUUUUUAAACAUUAUAUAUAAAUUAAUGGACAAUAGUAAACUACCAACUUGAAUACAUUCAUGUAAUUAUAUAAAUUACACUUUUUCAUCUUCCUCUAUUAGUCAUAAACUUUAUAUAUAAAUUAAAUCUCAUAAUGAUGGAGUUACAAAAGUUGUAAUACCAUAUUCGUAUAAAUGAAAAUUUUCUAACUCCAUAUUUAUAAUUUUAAUUUUCUAUGUUAGAAGUUGAAUUUGUUCCACAUCGCCAAGUUACCGGGUUAUUAUGUUGUUUAUAUAUGUGGAUUGGGCACCCUCUCCCUUUAAGCAAGCUUUUAGGGAUGAAUUAUAUUCAAACCCAUUUAACAUGGUAUCAGAGCUUGGUUUGACUGGGGGUCGUGGGUUCAAGCCACCUCUUCGCAAUUCGUAUGUUUGUUCCUCAUUUGCAUGUUUGAAAGUCUAGAAAAGGGUAUUUGCAUUUGUUUGUUUGUCCCUUCACGUGUGGAUAUGGGGCCACACAUAAGAUAUGGUGUUAAAAAGCAUGAAAUGUAUAUUGAACCCAAAUCUUAUAAGUUUAAGCUUUUAGGAAAAUUAGUAAUUCAACAUUCUAUACAUAAAAUUAUUUGAUGUCCAAUCAAUUGAUUCACCUACCUAUCAAUUAAUAUACUUUUAAAUAAAAUAUAUUUCAAUCCAUUACACAAAUAUAAUUAAAACAAAGUACUAUAAUAAUAUGAGUAUGUGACAAAUAAAUAAAAUAAAAAUAAUCACAUGUUACAUGUAAACUAUAUUCAAAGGAAAAACCACAAGUCAUCCCCACUAUUAAACAAUCCAUUGUAUAAUGAUCAAUUACAAAGACCAAGUAUUACCAAACUUAAAAGUAUCUAAAUCAUACUCACUUUGCACAUUUUCUUUAUACUUGGAUCCUUUAAACUCAUUUAUCCCAAUGUGGAAGCAUCUUGAGUUCUAAUCAAGGAAAUCAACCUUUACUUCAUCAAGUUAAAGUCUCUUUAUAUCAUUGACAACCAUAUCAAGAUUUCUUUUGUUGGUUGCUUUCAAAGUCCCACUAGAAUUAGAUUGAAAUUUUUAUAAUCUCUAGAACUUUAACAUAUUAAUUCUUCAAUGAGUCAAUCAAAUAUUAAGUUUUAUCUCCAUAGAUGGACCUCAAUGAAUUUUUCGACAAAGGUGUUAACACUAAUUUCAUAUUAGUAAAAAAAAAUCAUGUGACACAUAUUGAUAUAUAUAUAUAUAUACUAAUUUCAUAUUCAUAGAUUGAAUUCAUGAGAAAAUUAUUCUUAAUUUUGUAAAAAUUAUAUAUAUAAGAAAGUUUUUAGGCUUACUAAAACACAUUACUAACCAAGUGGCAAUAUAUUUAUAAUUUAGGUCUCAUUAUUUUGUAAUCAAGUUUCAUUCAUUUGUAUCAUAUAUGAGUCCUAUUAUGUCAUACCUUACUCUUAUUACAUUGUACUUUGAUCUUAUUUGUUUAAACAUCGAUUUCAUUUCUUUAUAUGUACAUCACAUUUAUUUAUAUCUCAAUCUUAAUUAUUUGUAUCUUUAUUUAACAGUUUAGAUUUCAUUACAUAUUUUUAAAAUUUUAAUUUGAAAUUCGAUAUCUUAGUAUUUUUCUAAAAUAGCUACCUAUAAUCCUUGUAGAGUACUCAAAAUUCACUCCAACCCAUAAAAAAAAAUGACCUCUCUUCGUAAGUUGCUAUACUCAUUGCUAAACUAUAAUUCCAAAAUUAGCAGAACUUUUCAUACUUAUUCUAGGCAAUUAGAGUUGAGAUGUUCCGGGCAUAUACCAUAUUCUUUCAAGAUUUGAAAGAAAUGUUACGAUUUCAGCAUUAAAUAAUGCAUGUCGAUUAACAAUAUUGCUCAGAUUCUUUAGGCAAAGGUCCACAGACAAAAAAAUUAUUUAUUUAUUUUCUGAACCACCCCUGAAAUUGACACCUCCCAUACAGUCUGAUCUGCAUUUCUGUGGCACUAUUUCCCUUAUUCCUAACCAUAAAUCUGCUGCCAUCUCAAUAAUUCACAUCCUUAUCCACUCCUUAUCUAGGGUUGUAACACUUUUUUCAAAAAGAUUUUUUUUUUUUUUUUUCGAAGGGGUGGAUAAGGGUCCUGAGACAAGCUGUGGUAUAAUUAUAAACCCACUUGGGUAAUGGUUUCAUUGUCAGGGUAAUUCUAUUUAAGGUGAAAAUCAGCUGGGUCUAUCAUUCUUGUUUCCAUGUGACUGUUUCCAAGGAGAACUCAACCCUCAAAUCCAUCGAGCAGUCAUAUAAAAAUACACGCAGAUUUCAUAUCUUGAAGCUUGUCCUGUGUUCAGAUCGGAUAACUCACUCAUAUGCCUAAUCACUAAUCGCCAACUUGAGUGUAAAAAAAGCGUGGGGCGAUAUUAUUUGUAUAUGGGUUUGACUGUUUGAGAGAGAAAGGUGGGGUGUCCCUUGGAGGAGUCCAAAGGCCAUUUUUGAACCUGCCUUUGAUUAUCGCCAUGGCAAAUCAACAGCUUGUAGUAUAUAUAUAUUAAUGGAGACCAAGACUCAAAUAGAGAGAGAGACGCGGGGAUGCGAUAAAGAGAACAGUAUAGCCAAGAGUAUAUAAGCAUUUCUCUUGCUGUAAUGGUGAUUCAGAGACUGGAAAUGUGUAUAUCACUGCUGAAAAUGGCAGUAGAGUUUGUGCUUGUUUUCGCGGAGGCAGUCGGGCUAGUCAUCAACCACAAUGCCACGCCGCUUUUGGCAAACUCAGCCUCAGUUGGCAAUGAUGUUUCUGUCCCUUUUAUCGGUUUUCUUCUUUGAAUUCUUCGUCUUGUAGUUUCCUUCCUUACCAGAAUGCUCAUUGGCCAUUGUAUAUGUUGAGGGUUCUUUUUUGCCUUGAUAGAUUUUCUAAAGGAUGUGCAUGUUUGAUAGGAGAGAGUAUAUAUACACAUCUAUGUAAACUUUGAUUAAAUUUUGUUCUGGGUGAGCUUCAUUUUCUGCAAAUUCAUUUGCUGAUAGCUUUGGAAACGAAUCUUCAGUUGUUUGGGUGCUGAUUAUUUGCUUGCUUCACACGAUUUUAUGUGCUGUUCCUUUGGUAAUAAUCUUGUUGGGUGGAUCAAGGAGAAGAGCGAAGAUCUGAGGGAAAAUAGAGUCUGGAGAAAGAAAAGAUGUAAUGAUGAUUAAGAAAGGCUUUAAUAUACUUGCAAGAUCAGGAAAAAAUAUUUCUUGGGUAUCAAUUAUUUUCUUGCUUGAUAUGGGUUUGAUACUCUUUUUCAAUUGGUGAUCAUUCUGGGAAGAUCAAGAAGAAGAAAAUGGGGUCUAGAUGAAGAAAAGCUAUAAUGGCGAUUAUUAAGUGGAAUCAGAUGAAAUAAAAGUCUGUUUCCAUCAUUCUUAAUAUGGUUUCUUUUGUCAAAAAUGGAAGAUGACUUGAUUUUCAUAGUCCCAGCAGGACUUUAGUACUCAUCAAACUCAUAAAUUUUGAACAACUUUGAGCUAACCUUCUGCAUUAAUUUGGUGCAUCUGCGCAGUUGCAGAGUAUGAACACCCACAAAAUCUUAAUAUGAAUCUUUUGGGGCAAUAGCUUCUAUAUAUGAUGGAUGAUAAGAACAAAGCAAAUCUUGGGUUCUCCAUGGGCACGAUCAUUUAUCCGCCAUAUAAAAUGCAGAUUUUCCUAACACCAACCCCUUAUUUUAAUAAAGUCAAGUUAUUUUAAGGCCCCCAAUAUUAGACAUGCCUUAGAAUCAUUGGGUCUGUGAUUAAAAAUGUAGUAAUAUCAUUUAAAAUACCUAACACUGAAAUUUUGAUAAUUUUGAAUGCCAUAGUGUGGAUUUGAAGAAAGAAAUCGCAUCCAAGAUCUCUUCCUUUUCCUGGGAAACAUUAGUCUUGGUCAAUUAUGAACUGUUACACGUUGCCUAUCAUGGUCAUAUUUAUAUUAGCUUUGAUUUCUAUGGGGGAUAUAAUUUAUUUGUAUGCUAAUCAUAGAGGUGAUACAUGUGAUCCACAUGUCAUAUUUGGACUUGGAAGCAAUCAUUGGAUUCCUUUGAUGAACUGGCAAUGGAAGAAUACUAAUUGCUCCGGUCCCUUUCUUUUUUCAAAGUAGGAUGAUCAGGUCCUUUGAUCCCUUCGACUCCCUCUGGCUGUUUUUCUUUGUUCUUUUUUCAAUCAUCCAUAGCUUAAAAUUAAAGCCUUGAUGCCCUCCUCGACUUUCCCAAGAUAAAACACCUUAUCUUCACUUUAUUUCUCUUCCCUUUAAAUUUGAUUUUAGAUCUGAAAUCCAGGGCUUAUGACCCUGUAGAAGAAAGACAGAUAUGAAGCUUGGGAUGAUUUGAACUUCAGUUUGAUUUUCUGCACACUCUGUUAAAACUCCUGAAAUAUAGUUGUAUAUUGCAAUACAUUUAAUUGUUUGAUACAUCUGAACUAUGAUGUUCUAUUAGUAAAAAUUUCUUUGAAUCAAUCCACGGCUCAAAGUACCAAUUUCUAUUGAAACUUUUUUUCUUUUCCUGCUCAUUCAAUUGUUUCAUUUUCCACAUAAUGGUAUGACAACAUCAAGAAUACUUCUCAGCAAUUGCCUGCAGGUGAACCCAAAGCUCUUUUGGCUUAGAGAUCAUGACCAUGUGAUCAGAUCCUUUAAUCUCUUUAACAGCAUCAGGUGGGUUUUUUUCAAUCAUCCAGAGUUGAAAAUCCCUUUUCCCCAGCUUGUCUUCCUCUGAAAUAAUAAAGACACGUUUAACCGAGGCAUAUUUCUUCGACAACAUGAGCUCAUUUGACAUGUCUUCUUCAAUGAACAAGCGUACGGGUCUCAUCAACACAGUCCCUAGUGCCAAGUCCUGGAAUAUUUGUGCCCGAAAUGAUAUGACAACAACAAUGAAGGUCUCAUGAUUUUGGUUGUAAGGCCUUAAUAAAUGGAGUUCUCACCUCAGUUGGGCUCAACUGAUACACAUUCAGUGAUAAGAACAAGGGGCCAAAGCUGAAAGUGGUGGGAGGAUUGUUGGGGCCAUUAUCAUAUGUGAACUGGCUGUCUAGUAGAGGACCUUGUCUCCUGAGUGACUUCAAUAAGAAGUAGAAACCAGGCUAAAAGUCAGAAACAGGGGAAGCCUUCCCCUCUUAAUCAGCAAGUAAAUUUCUGUAAAAGAAAAAUAGUAUGUAUGAAGUACCUCUUGAUUGAGAGUGGAAAUGUUGAGAGUGGGACCAGGCAUUGAGGCAGUAACAAAAACAGCUACAGAAACCUUUUCUGGGAACUUCUCCAUGGCCUGAGAAAUGGCCAAUCCACCCAAGCUGUGUCCAACGAGAACCACCCUCUCAUCUGCAGGGAGUGACUCCACGAAGUCCCUCAGUGGCUGGAAAUACCAAGAAAUUGAUCGCAGAUCACCCACUUGUUUUGGGUUAAUUCCAGAAGCAGCCAAGUCCAGAGCAGUAACUUUGUGGCCAGAUGAUUUUAGUAGUGCCACAAUCUUGUACCAAGACCAGGCACCAUGGCAAGACCCAUGAACUAGAACAAAGUGCUUGACGGGAUUAGCCUGUCUCCCCUCUGAUGCCAUUGGAUACACUGAAGAAACAAGAAAAAUCAGAAAGGAAACAAAAAUCAUAUGCUUCUUCCUUGCUUCCAUACUCCUUUCCUGUUACAGAGAUGGUCAGCACCCCAGCAUUUUAAAGGGCACAAUUGGGUAGGUUUUCACUACAACUACUAAUCUAAUUGAUUAAAAAUUUUCCCGUGAAAUUGACUCUAGAAAUAAAAUAAGGACUAAGGAUUCAAGAACACGUACACUUUGACUGCCAGAGUUUAUGUCUUUUCAUAGAUGACACAUGCACCUGCGUCACACUCUUUUUCAAUGAUAAAGAAGUUAUGCAAAGGAAGAAAGAAUGAAAUAUACAGAGUCAAGUAGUUAACUCCUCCCCUUGAAUUCUUCUCUUGCCCGGAUUGGUUUGUAACUGCAAACAUUUUCUUUUCCCAAUGUGAUCUGUGGAUUGAGUUCUGAUCUCAAUUUGUUUUUGGCAUUUUUGGUUUUGCUUCUGCAAAUCUUGAGAUGUAUCUUUCAAUUAAUAUAAGUUGUGCAGUUAAGGUUUUUGGACAUAUAAAAUGUUAGCCAAACCUUUCCCGUGGCAGGUUGAAGGUACUUUGGGGUAGGCUUGGUCAUGCUUGAUACCUCAGUCUGACUCAAACAUGAUGUUUUCACCCAUUUGAAUUGAUCAAAGUUGUGUUGACUGGCAUGAUUCCUUUAAUAAAGAAGUUGUUUUAGGAUUAAGGCGUACAACACAAAUUUGACUUAAGUAGAUCUAUUUAAUUAUUGUGUAUUAACAUAAUUAUAAUCAAUUGAGUCGAAAAUGAAUUAAAUUAAAAAGUUAAUUUUAUUGAUUUAAAUAAGACCUAAUUCAACCUGAUUAUUAAAUUACUCAACUUAUUAUAUGAUUUGAACACUGCCCACCAACAUUAAUUGUAACCCGUGCUUUGAGUUCAGGUGGCAGCAAGAGUUUGGCCUUUGUUUUGAGUGUUGGAUGAAUGUUGGAUUAACCUUUCCCAUGGCUGUCAAAUUCCUCAUAAAUUAUUGGUGAUUGUAAUAAUUUCCUCAAAAAGUAAUGGUGCUAUAUGCUUCUUUAGGAUCCAUUGAUCUUAAUAAUUCUCUUCCUGGUAUAGGAAGAAAGUGACUAUUCCAUUACUGCAGCUUUCAUUGCUGCUUAUUUAUCAAGCAAAUUACAUUAUUAUUUUCACACCAAAUCUCCAAAUUCACCAUGUACUUAUCCUAUAUACUGCAUGGUGAACUUCAGAGAGCUAAAACAAGCUCUUAUUGAAUACAUGAUAGAUGAUGUCCCACUGACCCUUUUACUCUGAUACCUUGAAAUGAGAAAUUUGGAGGUUUUCCACAUCAAGCUUCUUGAAAUUACUGCGCCUUCUCGCAGCAAAGAACUUUCCCCAGUUGUAUGCUCUGUACUUUGGCUUUUCUCCCUUCGUCAGCUCCUCCAAGGGCUUCACCCAAACAUGGUGCCCGGGACUGAAAAAGACCGGAAUUGAGAACCUUUCCCUCUCUGAAUUCACCGUCACCCUGUGCUCGACACUUUCAUAAGUAUCGUUGCUCCAGACCUGGUUUAAUAUCAGUAUAAUUAGCCAAAAGGGUGCAAAAUUUCUUGAUCCCAACAGUACUGAUAAGCAUGUACUUAUAAUUCAAAGUUCUUGGGUGGUACCUGAAUUAUAUCCCCAACAUUGAUGAUAAAAGCAUCUGGGGUGGGCUUAACUCGAACCCAUUCUCCAUUGGUUUUUCGCUUUACUUCCAACCCUCCAACAUCAUCCUGGGCAAGGAUGGUUAAGGCUCUGGAAUCCUUGUGGCGACCAACGCCCAAAGCUAGGUGAGGGAUGGGGCAAGGUGGGUAGUGAUUGAGGCGGAUGAAGUUUGUUGAUUCUUCAAAGAGAAUAUUGAAUCUGUUUUCUGGCA
rnacentral:lncRNA from 1 species